rnacentral:lncRNA from 1 species
UUUUCUGUUUACAGGUAUCCAAUCACAGAGCCAGAAAUCCUUUCUUCUGUGUGCUUGGGAAUUUUACUUGCUUAGACCACAAUUCAGCAUCAUGUUGUUUCUGUGAUCCUUGUUCUGACCACAAAUUGCUCAAGACAAACAUUUCUUGCUGUAGCAACGAAAAUAAAGCAAUUGCAGCAUACCGGAGGCCACACUCGAUUAAAAUUAAGAAAAGUCACUUGCUCUAAGAAAGGAAACUGGUGGCAUAUCACAUAUGCUUGACUGAACACGUAAUUUCUCUAUUUCCUUCAAUCAAUUUCUCCAAGGGACACAAGAUUCCUGUGGCUCUAUCAGAUACAAGAAUUAGUGAAAGCACAUACAUUUAGCUAUCCAUUUGAUCUGAUACGUAUGAUCUACCUCUAACAAUCUAAGGACAGCUUAUUCCAUUCUUGACAAUGGUUAUUGAAAAGAAAGAAUUUCUUUUUGCAUUUAAUAAAGCCAAUUCUCCAUUGAAUGGUUUGGAUGGUAAUUGGAUACAGAGAACUUAAAGACUAUCCAGGGCCGUUAUAGAAAGUAUUUUUAUCCCUUUCCACAAGAUGCAAUUAAUGCCUAAAAGCCAUUCGUCCUAUGCAUUAUGCUACUUCUGGUCACAAUCAGAAUAUGAAGAAAAUUAGCAGAGAAGAAGACAUGAUACGAAAUCUUUUUUUGGCAACCAUGAUUUGAAAUUCUUUCACAGUCCAAAAUGCUGCCUAAUAACAUUGUGUCAAUAAGCAAUUACCUUUCAUGGACGACAAUGUGACUAGAAUAUCCUCCCUUUGUGACUGUACCGUCCAUAUCGAUUCGGUCAAAAGUCAAAACCAUCUUUUCACAAUGGACUUCUAGCCCGUCAUUGCAAUACUCACACUCUCUGCAUGAAUUGACAUAAGUUCCCACACCCACAUGAUCGCCAACUUUGAAGCGUUGGACAUUGGAGCCAACCUGUUUCACAAUUCCAACUAUCUCGUGCCUGAAUGAAUCAAAAAAAUCAUUCGCAAAGUUUGUUCAGAGAAUUAUUAGGAUGGUGCUAAGAAAAAAGAUUAACAUUCGAAUCACGCUGCAUCCUACCCUGGCACCAGAGGAUACUUGGAGUCUCCCGCCAUAUUCCUAGUCCUACCCACAUCUGCAUGGCACACUCCACAGUGCGUGAUCCUAAUCGAGACGUCAUCGCUUCCCACGGUCCUAAAGAGAGAAUUCCCAAACAGUUGAGCAUCUAAUCAAGCAACUAAUCAGACUCAGUUUCCUUUUAUUCUCAUUUUUCAGAUCAAUAAACUAAGCGUGACUUACGAUAAUCAUACAUUCAACCCAAAACUAAAUUUAAGAAAAGAGAAAUGAAAAGGAACCAAAUCCAUGAUAUAGGCAUUUGUCUGAAUAGUACAUACGACCUCAAAUGCUCACAAAGGGCAGCACCUGAAUCCUAAUGUCUGCCAUGAAAUUCUAAGCGACUCAUUCUGGGAAAUGCCAUAUCAUGCGUACGAACAAUUCUCUACCCAGAAAUUAGUGCAUACACAACAAAAUUUUAAAAAGAAAAACGAAAUGGUUUGGUCAAUGUGGAAAUUUAAAUAUAUGACAAGCAUCAAAAACUGUUUUGCAUUACAGGUGAGAGGAUAAGACCUGAGAACACUUUAUUGAGACUUAUUCAGACAAAUACUUCAAUAGAAAUUGAAAGUAUAAGGAGCAGAUGAAUUAAAUAAAGAACAGUGGUAACAGUAAUACCUGCGGCUGAAUUUGUAGGGGGAGAGAAGUCCAGAAGGAUCUCUGGCAGCCCAACCAAGACAAUCUUCCUUCGCACCAUCUGAACUCAUCGUUCCUCAACGACCUCAACUGAAAUCGACCCACAAAAAAAUUGCUGUGUUAAUCUCUCAAUAAGCUGAAUUAUGGAAGAAGUAGAAGAAGAAUUUUCGUGAAAGAGAAAUGAAGAAGAGAAUUUCAAACCGAAAAACAGAAGUUCAAAUGGUCAAAAGGCCAGAUGUCACGAAGCCUUGGCAAUUCCGUUUCCGUGCAGACAAGAUUUUGGGGUCUGACUUUUGAGCAAAGAGCGAGAUUAGCAGAGUACGAGGUUGAGCGCUCAAAAACCGUCACCUCUUUAUAGAUGCCAUAGCGUCGCCUGUUCUUGGUCAAUCUUCGAGCUGUCUAUUGUGGAAAAGAAUUAGUGCCAAACGUAAGCCAUUUUCCUUCCCUAACCAAUGAAGUAUGCAGUGACAUCUUCUGGAGUGCGGUUCUUGAUACUUUUUAGCCAUCCUCCCAAUAACAAUUGCAUCAUCAAGUUAUUCACACAUUAAAUAUGUCAAUAGGCAACGUGCCUAUUGCACUACAGGACCUGCGGAUGGUCAACUAUGCCGGUUACACCACCAAUAACUAACACAUAAAAUAUGUCAUGAGCCGCUAGUGGUAUGUAUUUGAUUAAUCUGUUUUAAGAAUAUUCAUCUUCUACAAAGAUAGUAUUUUGGAGAGAAAAGUGUUUCAGCAGAACUGUGCAAUGAUUUGCAGAUCAUUACAAUAUCACCGGAAGCAAAAAAUUAUCCAUCAUUGACAUGAACGAUAUAGCAAAAAUUCUUUUAAUUGUUUACCUUAAGUUUAGCAAGAUCUGCUUAAACGACAGCCUUGAGUAUCUUCAAUUCCUUUUCUCUUGUAAUUGAGUCAUAAAAUUUUCAAAAAUUACAAUUAAUUCUAAAGAUUUAUCAAAAUUGGUCCAAUUUAAGUCAUUCCAUUGAUUGCAAUUUUUGAAAGUUUUAGAGUUCAAUUACGCUCUCCUAACAAGUUUUAGGACUUGAUUACAUUUUUUAAAAAUUUUAUGACUUAACUUUAUGACAAGUUUUACAAUUUCCAGUACACUUAUCUUUUUCUUUCUUUUCACCUCAUUAAUCUUUUUAGCGACAAUGAGCUUGACAUAUCUUUGUUUUUGGGAUUUCAGUGGCUAGGGGAAACAAAGAGAUGUCCUCUAAUGAAUCAACAAUCUUCCUGCCAUGACAAUGCCGGAAGAGAGAUGAGUGUCUUACAUAGUUAUCAAAAAUGUUCAUGUUAUAAUCGGUAGGCAUUCGCUCUGCCAACGUGCAUGAACAUUUCCGGCGAUGAAACAUUUGUGAGGAGCCAGUAAAGACAUCCUGUUAUUUAAACCGACAAAAGGAUAUCAAGCUUGCUCUUUUGGCAAGUAUAUUGUCGUCAAAUAAGCCUGAUUAAUCCGAUAUUUUCAUACAAAAAAUCGUCAUCGAGGUUGAGGCCAACUUAAUCCAAAAUGCCAAUGGACAGGCUUGGGUAAAGCUAGUGGAUAGGUAUGCCGCUUUAUCUUAUGUCGUGUUAUCUCACGAGAGAUGGUGCUGCGUUCUCCUUAGAAUGCACAUGACUUGGGAUAGGAAAACCUUAGGAUCCGACGAGGAGGAAGGAAAAAAGCAAUCUAUUGUCAGGCCAAUACAAGAUCAUUUCAUCUCAAACCCCGCAGUCUUGAGGCCAUGGAAUCUACGACAUACUUGCUCAUUCACAAGAGUCGAUAGUAGUUGCAUUUCUUUACUUAGCCGAUGAAGCCGAUGACAAGCUCCAUGGUUGUGUUCGCAGGCUAGGCCAUUAAUUUGAAAUUUGACAUAUAGCAUAUUCAUGAUUCAUUCUAUCUGACAGGGAAUUCUUCCAUUUCUACUUCAGAUUUCUUUCUCAGUAUGGAGUGAAAGAGAAAGAGCCUAUCUCCCAUUGCAUGGACUCUAUUUUAAAAACGCCAUGGAAUAUCCUAUCUUUGCACACAGUCUCAAUAACUAGGAUUUAGUUCAAAGAUAGGAUUAUUUAUAGGGAUGAGCGAAAUAUUUCAGGCCUACUCAGUUGGCCCCUUCCAGGACGUGAUUAUGGUAGGAGAAUUUGAUAUUCUUCUAGCCAUUAAUGGGUCUGUGCAAGGGGUUUUAUACUCUACUCAACACCCAAGCGAGUCAACUGAUGAAGUAUAGAACUAUCGGCAUUUACAUGAUAUCACUGACACCGCCGUGUCGAUCAAGAAAGGAAGGAGUUCCCAAAUAUAUUUAUUUUGGAGAGAGACAAAUUUCAGUAAAACUAUGCAAGGAUUUGCAGAUCACUACUAUAUUAAGUAAAGCAAAUGAACAUCCAUCAAAGGAGUAAUGUAGUGCAAUACUCGAUUGAUCAGGGUGAGAACUAAGCUCAGAAGAUCAUUCUAAGUAACAAUGCCAGAGCUCGUGUUGAGCUCAAUCUUGUGAUAUGACUGAGAAAGAUUGCAGUAUUGUGCACACUUUGCAUUUAUAGCAAAUAAUUGUUUCCAAUUUGAUAAUAUUAUCUAUUCUUGACUGCGUUCUUUCUCCUGAAAUUAGGGCGUAUACCUGUUCAGAGUAGACCUCCAAAUGCACUUCCCCCACUUGAGGAACACCCCCUCAAGGAACAAAUACCCGACAUGGAUUUGUGUGAAAGCAAUUUGUUGUGUGCAAGCCACCUAAGACUGUGUAUUGUACCUCAGGAUACAUAAGAUAAUAACCCUGCAAGAAAUCUCCUGGUCCUAGCCAGGGUUUCAAUAUAGAAUCAGCCUCACAAAAUCCUUUACCACUUUUUCAUUGCAUUGGGCUUCUUGUCGCAGUCACUCAGCUUUGUGGGGCCAGUAAAGUAUGAGAAAACCUGUCAAAAUGGUUUAAUUGCAUUCAUCGAUAGCUUCCAAUCUUGAGCUCUCCUUCUGCAAAAAUUCAAAUUCCUGGAUGAGUUUGGCCAGCUUUGCAGCAUUCUCUUCCUGGAUGUGAACUGGGACCUUCUGUUCAUAGACAGAUGAAUUGAUGAUCUUCUUGAGUUUCUCUUGUUGCCUGCAUAAGUAGACAGGUCACACCAAAAUUACGAGACCCACAGCCCACAAGCUCAGUGAUCCAAGCCUUGUCUUCAAGGUUUUCUUUAUAUGAUUAUGGAAAAAUCAAGGAAAUUAAAUAUCCUACAAAAUGGGGAGUAAUCUGCAAAAUAUUGCUUUAAUUCACAAGAAAAAUUAAUAUAACACAGAUCACCUUAACAAUGAGGACAUCAAGUGGAUAGACAAGAUCAGGGACAACGAAAACAUCAUGGGACUUAUCUGAGAAAAUGAUACUUACAGAAACAGAAGGGGAAAAGAAUUUAACAGCUUUUAGUAAAGUUAACAAGAUAAAAGGUCGAGAAAUUAAUUUUUACCAAAAAAAAAAAAGGUCGAGAAAUUAAUUUUUACCAAAAAAAAAAAAGGUCGAGAAAUUAACAUGGACUGUCUUGAUGACACCAGGUGGAUUAAUGAGGUCCACAACAAGGAAAAAUGCCAUACUUCUCCAGCACAAUGUACUAACAACAACAUAGAAAGAAUUGGGAAAGUUAUCAUGGGACAAAAACAGGUUUACUCAUGAACGUUUUUGUCAGAAUGUGCAACAAAGACAGAAAGAAACUUGCACAUUAUUUCUAAAUAAGCAAUCUGUUGACAUAAUGAUGUACAGUGCUAAGCUGCUAGCAAAGGCUUUUACCUGUGCCACACAUGAAUGACAUAAGUGAUAUCCACAUGAUAACACCAGGGAGGGAGGGAGGGAGAGUACUUUCACUGGACUUACUUUUGAAUCUCUUCCAUCUUAUUCUUGAUCUUCUCACGUUCUGCUUCCGCAUUAAGUUCUCCUUGAACCUUAAGAUACACUUUGAGAUUUUCAUUCACAUUCUCAAAAGCACAACUUGCGGGAACAUCUUUUUCACUCAACAAAACCUGUGAAUCCGUCAAAUAAAAUAAGGAGCAACAAUUAAAGAAAAUGAGAUACAUAACAAAAUUAACAAAGAAAAAUGGAACCCAUGUCCAGCCUAUCAUGUUAGCACUAUAAGCAGUGUCGAAGUGUAUAUACUUCAUCCUACUGAUGAGUGAGAUUUACCCUACAUGUGCACUAAUCAUUUAUGAACCUUGAAGAUAAUCAGCAAGUCAUCACUUAAUUAUCAUUUGAAGACUCUCUCUUUUCACAAUAGACUGACUUAAGGAGAGGAGCUUGGUGGGAGUUAAAAAUCAGCUUCUGGAACGAGAUUCAAAGGAGAAGAAUUGGCUUCCAUGACCAUUUGUGAAACUUACAUCACAUUAUACACUAAGCUUAUCGAUGAAAUGCUGAAUCGCAUUCAAAAGGCAAUAAGAACACACAAGUUGCAAAAGCAAACACAACUAUUUAAGAAACUAAUGCACUGUACCUCUAAUGAAGAUAAAGCGGCAAGAGUUACAAUCUCCAAUUCAUGGCUUUUAAUGGUGUCUGCUACUUUCUCACUUUGGCAAUAUGCAUAAGCAGGUAGCCUGAGAAAAAAUUAACUAAUAGGAAUAAAUAAAAGAAUAUAUGAUCACAGAUACAACUACAACCUCAUGUAUACUCAAUUGGCAGAUUUUGAGAACUUUUUCCCCACCGGGCCUGGCCUAUUACAAAUUUACAGCAUAAAAGUCUAAAAAUAUCCACUAGAGAAAUAAGAUAGCUCAAAUGGUGUCAAUGGCAAGACUCAGUACCACCUAGCAGAAACUCUAUGAUGCAUAAUUGUUUCAUGCAAAUUAGAGUAGGUGCGCUCUUUUUCCAAUGAACACGACAGAAGGCUCUCUAUAACAAGUAAAGAGAAUCUCAUAUUGAGGUGGUCAUUCUUGAGGAUAUAUCUGAGGAGGAUGCAAUACUAGCAAGCAAAAUGCCCCAGGUAAAGGCCCUAUGUGUCUAUUUCACCUUGUAAAUCCUUGAAUUUUGUCUACAUUAAAAUACCCAUCAAGCCAACCACAUUAACCACACCUUUAUCAAAUAAAUACAGUUUGGUUAUGGGCUUUCCCUUAUGUCAUUAUGCAUGGUAUCAAGCAAUCAAGACUUCCAGCGGCACCCUUAACAGGUAAAAAUGCCGAGGUAGAUAUUAACGUGUUUGCUUUAACUGGUAUAGAUCUUUAGAUGAGAAGGAAGAUACAGGAACCAAAGGACAAAACAAGAAGCUGCAUGCAAUAAAUCAGAUAAACUUCAUUAACUUAUGACUAUCAAGCAAGCAUCAGACAUUAGCAAAUGAAUGUAUCUGCAAUCGAAAAUACGUUGAAAAAAAAAGGUUAAAAGCUCAUAUCUACCUUUCAUUCUUAUGCUUUCUAAGCCCCUCUGACCUUAGUGACCGCAGGGAUUUUACUGUGGACUCAAUUAGAUCCAUCUCAAGCUCCAACCUUUCGUUUGUCCAGCGCUGAAGCAAAAAGAAAAUCACAAUAAUGCGAUGAGGAUGAAACUAACCCAUUGAAUUUCUGAUUAAUCCAUCAACUACAAGUUACCCAUCACCAUUUUAAAUGUCUCAUAGACUACUUAUUAGAACUCCAAAUGUCAUAAAUUAUUUAAACUGCAGGACAAACUUUCAAUAUUUGAUUAGCCUAGAUUUACCUCUACAGGGGAUGGGUAAUCACACAUCAUAAUUGAUUCUUUUCUAUCACCGUCCUUUGCAGAGGGCAGCCGCUGCCACAAUUCUUCAGUAACAAAUGGCAUGAAAGGAUGAAGCAGCUGUAACCCAGUUUCCAAGCAUAACCACAAAACUUCUUUUGAAGACUUCCUUUCAGAGGAAAAUGUGGGGUCGUCAACGGCAAAGUAAGGCUUGAUUGCUUCAAUAAAAACAUCACAGAACUGAUAUUGCCACCAUGAAUAUACUGCGGUGGCUGCAUCUGAAAAUUCGUACGAUUCAAGAGAUAAAAUGGUUUUUGAUAUAGCCUUGUUCAGCACAGAUAUUAUCCAUUUGCAGCUAAAUGGCAUAGUUUCUGGAUGUACUUCCACUUGGGGCACAAAAUUGUCUCCAAGUUUGCUCAUAGCAAAUCGAACAGCAUUCCACAGUUUGUUGCACCAUUGACGAUAGCCAACAACUCUUUGGAUAUCCAGAUUUAUUUUGUCAGACUGCAUAAGGUAUAAGAAAAGUUACAGGUUAAUAUUUGUUCGGCAACAAAGGCAACAAUAUCAAGGCCUGUACAUGGUACAAAUUAUAUCGUGGUCAAUUCGGUGGGAAAAGAAUAAACCUGAGCUGUAUAAGAGACAAGUGCGAAUCGGAGAGCAUCUGCACCACAUUCAGCAAUACCAUUGGGGAAGUCCUUGACCUGUCCUGCUUUAGCUACAGUGAGUUCAUUAGGGUCCAAAUUGCCCUCCUCCAAUCUCUUAUGAAGAGCUUCUAGGCUUACGCCAUUAAUUACUUCAAGAGGAUCAAUGACAUUUCCUAAAGACUUUGACAUCUUUCGGCCAUGGGCAUCACGAAUCAUGGGAUGCAGAUAAACCUGCAAAGAUAUAACAUAAGCAGCAAAUACAGUAGAAAGGAAUUGUAUUAGCAAGCCAAUACAAGUACUGUUCAUUUUCCUAGAUGUAGAAGCUCCAUAAAUUUUGAAUCAUAUGGCAAUCAGACUAAGCGUUGACUUCCCAAAUAUAACUCUUAAGAAGCAGGUAGUCGAUAUACCAGAAGUGGCAAAAGGAGGGUUACUUUGACAUUUGACCGAGGAAAGAAUCCAUCUAUGCAAAUAUUAAAAACAUACAGUAUCUGAAAAUGACAUGUAACAAAAAACCAAGCUGAUUGGGAUAAAGUAUUCACACUACAUAUUGAUGUCACUUGCAAUCAUUAAGCAAUUUGGGUUGAUAUUCCUGGUCAUUAAGGGAAGUAGUACAAGAUAGAUAUUUUAUGAAAGUUUCAAGCAACUCGAACACAAAAGAAAAGGACCACUCCAGCCAAAAAUAAAAUAAAAUGAAAAGACAUUACACAUUUCUAGGGCUUUUACAGAGGACCACAUUCCAAUGAAACAUCAGGCAUUUUCCAGGAAACAGACGAUCUGCAGAUCCAUUGUAAAGCAAGCUGAGCUAUUUGGCCACUAAAAAUGCAAUUAUUAGACAUAUAGCAUCAUAUCCUCAUGAGAUCAUUGUUAAUGAUAUGUCCUGCAACUGUAGUUAACUCACCUUCCUGAAAGGGACAUCUCCUCCCAGUUUAAUUCCCAUCAUCACCAUCCGGGCAACCCAGAAAAAGAGAAUAUCAUGGCCAGUCUCAAGGAGAGAAGUAGGAUAAAAUGUCUUCAAAUCUUCUGUAUCGUCUGGCCAUCCGAGGACAGUUAAUGGGAAAAGUCCAGCUGAAAACCAAGUAUCAAGUACAUCAGGAUCUUGGCACAAAUCAAAUUUCCUCCCUGCAUACUUCUUGCCGGCCUCUUCUCGAGCUUCGCUCUCAUCUUUUGCAACUAUCCAGUUAUCAUUGUAUGCGCCAAGUUCCUUCAGUUCAUCGUCUUCCAGUGUGACGUACCACGCUGGGAUCCGAUGACCCCACCAUAGCUGCCUUGAGAUGCACCAAUCACGUAUAUUCUCAAGCCAUCUGUGGUGUUGAGACAUAUCUUCAGUUCUAAAUUAUUGCAAUAAUACUGCAUAAAUAAUGCUCAAAUGUCCAAAAUUAAAUUGCAUUAUACGCAAACAUCGGCAAAAUGCAUAAAACCAUAGUCAACCAAUUUUUCCCCAAUAACAUAUAGCAACUGUGCAUUGGCAUUCUCUGGGCCAAUUAAUGAGAUAAAAGAAAAAAUCCGGGAGGAACAUUUUCAUGCUUAGCCCUUGUAACAGCAAGCACUGGCAGCAAAAUUUUGGGGAGAAGUGAAGCUUGCACAUGCAAUAUUUUAUUACUAUCAUCCACAACGGUGGGUUAGAUGACAGCACCUUUUCCAAUCUGCAGUAUACUGUUUAGGAAUAAUUUCAAGUCUUCUAUUCUCAGCAUCCAUGGCCACAUCAAGAGCUUCCUUUGCCAUGCCACUGCAUUUCACAUACCACUGUGGCUUUAUUAACGGUUCCACAACAUCAUUGGUUCUUGAACAAAGGCCAAGCCUCAUCUCAUUGUUUUUAGAACCUCUGUAUAGUCCCUGAAAGCAAGAAAAUCAAAUACUUAAGUGAUUUAUGACAACAAACUACCUGAAACUGUGACAUGGAGCAUCAACUGGAAAUAAUGGAGAGAGUAAGAGGAGAAUAGUCUAGGAGGAUAUGGUAAGCAUCCAUGUACAAAAGUGGAGAAAAGAACAGAAUUUGCUAGCAAUGCCUUAUGACAAAAUGCAAUAACGUUCAACCAACAUCACAAAUAAUUGGCUCAUGCCUUAAGAUGUGUUAUAAUUAUGCCCAAAAAAAGCAUGCACAUUGAUAAGUAAAGACCUGAGAACAAAGCAAAUGGAGUAGCAGAUAAGUAUGACCAAUGAUUAUUUUUCAACAACUUAUGAACAUUUGCCUUCAUAUUCAUUCACUACAUAAUAUUUUGAAAGCUUCUAGUCAAAAUCACUUCAUCUCUAGUUAAGAUUUUCUUCUUUGAGUUCUUCAGAAGCAAGCCUAUCCUAUGGGGCACGUGCACUCAAUGAUGACAAAUGUGAGUUCAAUCUAAAUAGCCAGUGGUGUUCUCCAAGUAAAUUGAGAAGCUAUCUGUAGUCAACCAUAUAAUCCACCAAGGAAAGUCGAAGAUGUAGUUCACGUGUCAACAAACCAAGAGUUGAACAAUGUAUUAGUUAUAUAGGCUUCUCUCAAGUAGGAGGUUGCCAAUCUAUUUAAGAUUGAGAAUGCAACUGAGCUGAAUCCACUAGCCUUCCUUUUGCAAGAAACAAAUAUAUAAACUCAUCUAACUUCUGAGCCUCUGACCAAAAAAAAAGAAAGAAACAGAGAAAGAGAGAGAUUCAGCCAGCACUCAAAAGGUUUUAGCAGUCCACAGAACAAUUGGGGAAAAAUUUAUCAGGAUCAGAAAUAGAUCCGUUUUUUCUAGAUGGAAAGCCCGGUAGGCAACUCUGGCAUGACUCCCGUCUUGCUAACCCAUAGACUAAGCUGUGCAAGGUAUCUUUUGGUGGGGGCUGUUGGGGUGGAAAUGUUGGAAGGACACUGUUUGAUGAUGGAGCCAAGAAGAAAAUGAAGUGAUGCAAGAAAAAGAUUACUCUGAGCAUGACAUGGGUUUGAAGUUUACUGAAAGGUAGUAAACUGCUGUCAUGUCGUGGUAGUCAUGGAUGGGGCCAGAAUGGCCAUCCAAUAGUGGAUAGAAGUUGCAGCAAAUAGUGGCUAUAGUAGAUAUAAAUUUAAAACCUUCACACACUAUUUGAUUAAAUCAUAAAUUAACUAAUAGGGUUAAAUUGACACUAUUCAGGAAUGUCUCAAUGCUUUUCAAAUCAUCUAAUGGUAUCAAGAAAUUGAAAUUUGUCAGACAGGAUAUAGAUGGCUGAAAUAGAUCUUCUUGUUCUACUGCUUUUAUAAUGAACAAAAACAAAAUAGAAUUUGAUUUUGCAAUUUAUUAUUGCAUUAAGCAUUCAAGAUAUGUCUACCAAUCUUUCAUAUCGCAGUAAUACACUUACGGCUUCCAUGGAUAUUACUAUACCUUUUCCCGCAAUGCCACAGUGAUAGCUUGACGGGCCAUAAACCGUGGCAUCCCGACAAACUCUGAGCCACCAUUGCUAUUUAUUUUCCCAUCAUCAGUGAAAAUGUUGAUAAACUCAAGAUUAUGACGCCUUCCAACCUCAAAAUCAUUUGGAUCAUGUGCUGGAGUGAUCUGAAAAGGAACAGGAUAUUAAAGGUGGCGUAUGAUAAGCAAAAAAUAAGCCUUUGAAUUGCAAUUGAUUAAGAUAUAUACCUUGACAGCACCAGUACCAAAACUUGGAUCAACAAGAAUUGCAUCACAAAUGAUGGGAAGUCUUCUUCCGUUGAAGGGAUGAAUUGCAAAUUUGCCAUGCAGAUGACUAUACCUUUUAUCAUCAGGGUGAAUUGCAACGGCAGUGUCACCUAGCAUUGUCUCCACCCUUGUUGUGGCAACAAUAAUCUCUUCCAGGCCUUGCUCCAGUGGAUAGGCAAAUGAAGUUAAAACUCCAAAUUCUACUGGAUCUUCAUAGCCAGGAACUUUUAGAAGCUUCCUUUCCUUGAUGUCCACAUAAUCUACCUACAAACAGGUGGGUCCAGCUAACCAAGGAAGAGAAAGGGACAAAAUGACUGCACGGUCAUUAGGCAAUCACUCACCUCAAUAUCAGAUAUUGCAGUCCGUAAGAUACAAUCCCAAUUCACAAGGCGGAGAUCCCUGCGAGAAUUUGAUUUAAAACAUGCAUAUAAACAACUCAAAAAACUAAUAUGUAAAUGAAAAUGCACGACCUGUGAUUCCACCAUAUAGCAUUAACCUAUUAGACAUUGAUUAUCUCAGCAGUAAUUUAUCAAACUGAUUAUUAUUGGCCAUCGGUAUCAAGCAUCUUUGUUGGGAUGACUGCUUCCAAAGAAGAAACUCAUAAGCCUUUCCAACCAAAAAGUCCCAAAAAUACUAGCAACUUAUGAGUCAAUAAGUAGAAUACAACAGGGAUCACAAGGAGGAAGAGAGAUGCUGGCUAAUUGUCAAGUACCUAUAGAUAAGACCCUCUUUAAACAGCUGAACAAAUGCCUUAGUAACAGCUCUUGAUCUUCUCUCAUCCAUUGUGAAGCACUAGAAAAUAAAAGGAAAGAAAAAAAUUUCAGGGAAAAUAAACAUUUCCUAGCUAAUAAAUUGUGACAGAUAAAAUGCAGAUACCGAUAGCAAUGUCUAUUAACAAGUUUCAAACCCAAGUGUACAGUAUAUAGACUCCAAUCCAAAGCACUUUAUCAUGUCUGAAAAGUCAAAGAUCAAGAAUUUGGAAGAGUUACCUCACGGGACCAAUCGAGCGAUGCACCCAAACGUCUUUGUUGCCUUAAUAUAGUGCCACCAUACUCAUCCUUCCACUUCCAAACCUAGUGACAACAAGAGAAAAAGGAGAUACACUGAACAAAAUGACUUUUACACGGAUAGUGAAACAACCAUUGAAGGUGAAUUAGCUAGGAUAAUAGUUUCACCUCAGACACAAAUUUCUCACGACCAAUAUCAUGCCUAGUCAAACGACGUUCGCGCAUCAGCUUCUUCUCCACGACAACCUGCAAUGUAGCAUCCAAAAUCUUCCACCUUAAUAGUGAAUGAAUAUAUUCAGGCUUAACCAACCACAAACUAGACCAAAGACCAUGUGGUUUCUUAUUUAGCUGAGGGAUUUAGCAUGGGCAGGUUAAGGAAAGAACCUAAUUCAAAGGUUCACCAGUGUCAUUGCCGCAGGCGAUACAUGUUAGGAUGCAGCAUGAUCAUCAAUAACAUCACUUCAACGUAAUGCAGUUAACUGCUACCAUAUCAUCAUAUUUACUUGACAAAUGGAAAGGAUUUCAACUAUCAUAUCUCGGACAUAUCAAAUCUAUGGAACUACAUUUACUGUUUCAUGAGGGGCAAUGUAACCUUCAUCUGAACCCCAUACUCAGUUACUAGCCAAAUUAGCCACAGAUCCCAGUAAAACCUGGAUCUGACUCUGACUCCACAAAAUCUUCUUAUAUUCACCAGAACACUGCAGGUGGCAAGAAUAAUUUUUUUAAUGGAGCACUAACCCUAGCUUUCCUCCAACAUACAUUCCCCCAAGUUGACUAGAUAUCACUCACAUGAAGUGUGAAAAUGACUUGUAGCAUGGCAGGUAAAUGAUAAGACUCGAUUAGAACUGGUUGGAACUGUAGACCAAUAGAAAGCCAAUUGAAACUUAAACAAUUCAAAACAAUUAUGGACAUUCUAAUUGAAGCCAUCGUGACACCUUUAGUCACCAAUACUCACGUAGUGGCAACCUCUGCACAGCAUCUCAACUACCAAAAUGCCACUUUGGAUCAAUUAUUGCUACUGCAGUGCAACCGUCAAACUACCACACAUGAUUAGACUAAGGCCGUGAUGGUAUUCUCUUCAUUCAACUAUUAAAUGAAAGAUUUCAAAUUAAAUGCUUUUAAAUAUACAAUAGAAAUUUCUAUGCAACCAAAUGACAAUCAGGCCUGAUGCUAAUCGUGGCAAAGGACAGAGUGAAGGUCCUGCAUGCUUUGGCAAAGGGAGAACAAGUUAUAAAGGUUAUGGACCAUGGCAGGGAAAAAUUGCAAUAAAAAGGUCUUGAUGACAGUUUUUGGCUUUUUUUUUUCUUGACAUUGAGCUAUUUGUCUGCCAAGUAUCUUUAAUUAGGUAAAAAAAAUUGAACAAGCGACUUUCCAUGACAAUCCCCAGGAUCCCAUUUGCUCAUUUAGGGCAAAAGCAUAGGAGAUUAAAGGAUCUCACCUGCGUUGCAAUCCCAGCAUGAUCCAUCCCAGGCACCCACAAGGCAUUAUAUCCAGACAUUCUCUUCCAGCGAAUAAUUGUGUCCUGCACAUGAUGAAAAUUCUGACAUGAAGGAUGUAUUUAGUCUUUAUUAGUAAGCAAGAAGACAAUGCGGAAACAGUCCUGCAACCUGAAUAGCAGAUGUAAGGGCAUGGCCAAUGUGUAGGGCCCCAGUCACAUUUGGAGGGGGAAGAACCUGCAUAAUACGAGACAUUAAGAAAUAAAAAAUAAAAAAUAGCAGCCCAAAAAGUUAGUGAAGAGCAGUAAAAUCUAAAGUCUAGAACUGAUAAAUUCUACUGAGAUUGUUUGCAGAUACUCUUCCAAUCAAACAACAAAUUUUCUCUGUUGAAAAAUAUUUGAAGGCAGCAUGACCUCCUGGUUAAGGCCAUUGAUAGUGAUAAGAUGACUGUUUUAAGCAUGAAUUAUUCCAUAUACACACUUUAAUAGCCAACCGAAAUACGAGCAACCAAUUCUUAACUCAUUUCAAGAUCCAUGUAUCAUAUUUUAGCAAUAAGAACAAUAAAUAGUUAUACUUAAGAGGGAAAAAAAACCAAGAGAUUAGCACAUUAAUAGCGAUCGAAAUACGAGCAAACUACAUGGAGUCUUUCUAAAUUUGACUGCUUUUUCCUAAAAGUACACUUCCUACCAUCACUUAUGUUCAGUAGCACAUGGUGGUGAAUUAAUCCAUGCUAAAGUUAAUCCUCUGACAAUUAUGCUUGCAAAUAGUUUUAUAAAUUGGUGCUGUCAAAAUAGGAAAAAAUGAAAAAGGAAAGAAAGGAAGAAAGAAAGAAAAGCAUGGAACCAUCAAAAAGCAUGCCUCCUUGAAAGGGAAAUAACAGAAUACAUAGUAAACAAGUGAAGUCUAUGUAUUUGCAAUUACACUAUAAAUUUUCCAGGAGAACCCAAACCGGUGAACAGAACUUACUGAAUUGAAUCUUAAGAUCCCCAGUAAGAUCCUCACUCAAUCACUGAUACCAAGUUGCAAACAAUAACUCUAAGAAAAGUGUCCAGAAGUAGAAAGUACUCACAAUUACAAAUGGCGGUUUUGGGCUGCUGGCAUCUGCCACAAAGAAGCCUGACUUCUCCCACCAUGCAUACCAUCUAAAUCAACAGGAAGUGGGUCCAAAAAAUUCUGAGAGACAAUAAUAAUGUGAAUACAGCGUAAACAGAAGAGGAGUUCAUUCUUACGAUUUCUCAACAGCGCUUGGAUUAUACUGCUUUGCCAUGUGGCGGGAUAGCCUUUUCUUCUCGCCAAAUGGAGUCUCUGGGUCGACAUAAUCACCUGGAUUAUCUUCACCUAUAUCUCGCUUUAUAUUCUUUUUUGCACUCUUUUUGGGGGCAUCAGCACCUUGCUGAGCCUUGAAAAGAUAAAAAAAUGAAAAAGACAUCGAUGUUAGUAUGCAUACAGACAUUGGCAUUUUCGGGACCCCACAUAAAGUGAAUCAUCAACCGCCAAUAUUGAAAGCUAUGAGAUUCAAAGCAAGUACACAUCGGAGCAAAUACAAAUCAUUUACAAAAAUUAUAUAGCAAAAAAUUCUCUUAAACAGGUAUAUAAUGGUUUACCUUAAGUUUAGCCAGCUCUGCUUUUUCGGCAGCCUUGAGUUUCUUCAAUUCCUUCUCCCUUGCCUUAAAAAAAACAUGAAAACGCAACGUGGAAUAUUAAGACAGAUUGCCAUCGACAAAGCUACUAAAAAGCCUACUCAAUUUGGCAAAAUUGGGACAAGUUUGUCCAAUGAUCUUGACCACCUCCGCAGCAUGCUAUGCGAAUGGAUAGGAAUGCAUGCGGAGGGACAAGCUGAUUGCCACUUGAUGUUAGUCAUUCAUGCAAAACUGUAAGAUUCAUACGCUAUAACAUAGCCAGACAAGCAACAAAAAAAAAAAAAAAAUGAUCUGCGUUGCACCUGAGGUGACAAAGGUAAUUAGAUUGUAUUCAAACCAAAUGAAGUCCGUUGCAUUAAAAAGACAAUCAAAUGAUGCAUUGAUCAAACCUUCUCUUCCUUCUUCAUUUUCCUCUCCAGGUCUUCCACGCCUUCCGGCUUGUUAUCCGGUUGAGACUGCACGACCCACAUCAACUCAUCAAUCUGAUCAUUACAAUCAUAGACUUGCCAUUUCCACAGCUAACCCAAUAACUCAUAAGCUACAAUCAGACGAGCUUCCACCCAAGAAAACAUACCAUUUCGAUGGUUGGUAAGCGUGAGACUGCGACCAAAGUUCGAUUCCGACAAGAGAAAGCACCGGGACAGAUGGUUGAGCUCCGUUUAGAAGUAGACCCAACAGCCGCCGGCGAACAAGGGCGGCGACCGUGACUUCAAAGAGACGACUUGAGGGCGACCGAGCUCGGCGGAGGCGGCGGGACUUGUCAGCAGGGAUUUUUCUGACAGUGUCAGACUGGCACGGCUCUGACGCUUUUUUAAUUAAUUAAAGAAAGAAAUUCGUAAUUGGACAUGGGCUGCGGGAGCGCGAAAUAAGACUUUCCUUUUUUUUUCUUUUUUUUUUAAUUUAGCCUUUUCUGCUUAUUCGCAAAUAAAAUUUAUUAAUUUGACACGAACAUAUAGUGGUGUAUUUUCUACUAGUAAUUAUAUAAAUUUAUAGAUUUUAAGGGAACUUGGAUCUUAAUUGUCAUUGGAGAGGAAGUGAAUGAUGAUAUAACAUGAAUUAAUAGAGGUAAUUGAAAAAUGUCACAAAAGAAAUCGUGUUCCGAUAUCCAUUUUAUUAAUACAUUGAAAAAGAGAUAAAUCUUACAAAGUUAUUAAAAGAAUCUUAUUCUUUGGGACAGAAAUGUUAGGUCAGAGAAACGUGGAGGACUGAGCAAAUAAAUGACAAAAUAAAAGCAAUGAAAGUCACUGAUUUGCUGCCCUUUGACCGAUUGGAUUCUAAAUAUUUAAUUUUCAAUUGGAUUCUAAAUAUUUUAUUUUGCUCAAUUGACUCCUAAACAUUUUCAAUUUUAGUCAAUCAGUUCCCUUGAAUAUUACCCUUGAAAAGAGCCACAUGGCUGUGAUUUUCCAAGUGAACAAGCAGAUGCUUGAGGAGAAAACCUGUAGGAGAAGAGGCGAAGCCAUUCAAGGAGAACUCUCAAGAAGCCAAUUUUUCAGACGGUUUCUCAAUCAUCACAUAGAAAAGUACCAGGAUUUCAUUACCCAUUUCACUUAUUUCUGCUAUAAAACUCACGAGUAUCAAAGUAUAUCAGGCAUAGUUAUUUGUACUCCAGCAGAGCAAGUAAAAAGGCACAGAUGAUACUCUCCUCUAGCUGAAACUCCCACUUUUCCUCUCUGUGUGAUCAGCUUUGCCAGCAACAAUUUCCAACUUCCCAAAUUGAUGGUGUCACUUCAAGGAGUUCUCAAUGUCAAUCACGAAUCGGUACUUAAUAUCUCUCUUGAUGAGCCUCUCGAGAGCUUCGUUGGCAUAAUCAAUCGGUAUCACUUCGAUUUUUGGGUAUAUCUUCUGCGCCGCACACAGGUCUAUCAUUUCUUGGGUAUCCUUUGUUCCUCCCGUUACGCUACCCGAAACAGUUCUCAUAUCUGCCAAAAGUUCACCGCGAGCAACUUAGUUCACCUAUCAGGAAUGAAAUUUCAUUUAGUAAUCAGAUUUGAGAACAAAAACAUACUGAGGUUAAGGCUGGCUGGACUGAAUUUAACUUCGCUCGGGAAGCCGACCAAUGCUAGAAUGCCACCCGUCUUCAAAACAGACAUGUAAGGAUCAAAUGGGUGAUCGCCGGCUGCCGUGUCGAUUAUAAAGUCCAGGGACUUAGCAAUGGCCUGCAUGCAUUGGAUUUAUCAGAUCACAACAGAAUUUGACCACCAUGGAUCUCAAUGUGGAUAAUUCUAGUUUUUCCUCUUUUUACCUUCAUCUGCUCUACGUCAGAUGAGAUAACGAAAUGGUCAGCCCCAAGCAGGCUCAGUGCUCCCUCCUUUUUAGAAAUGCUUGUACUGAACACUGUGACUUUCAGUCCAAAAGCCUUCCCAAACUUAACUGCCAAAUGACCGAGCCCGCCAAGUCCAAUUACACCUAGAGACUUACCAGGUUGGUUCUUUGUGACGUAUCAUUGGAGUGUACACCGUGAUUCCAGCACAGAGCAAUGGCGCUGCUAGAUCCAUCGGGUAGUUUUCUGGAAUCCUGAAGCAAUACCUGUCAAUGAAGCACCACGAUUAAGUUUCCAAAUAACACCAAGAGAGGAAGUGGUUUCCCAAUAGAAUCAGCAUCCUGUCUUUGUUGUCUAAAAGGAAUCAAAUCACAGAGCCAGACAUCCUAUCUUCCACAUGCUUGGGAAUUUUACUUGCUUAGACCACAAUUCAGCAUCAUGUUGUUUCUGUGAUCCUUGUUCUGACCACAAAUUGCUCAAGACAAACAUUUCUUGCUGUAGCAAUGUAAAUAAAGCAAUUGCAGCAUACAAGAGGCCACACUCGAUUAAAAUUAAGAAAAGACACUUGCUCUAAGAAAGGAAACUGGUGGCAUAUCACAUAUGCUUGACUGAACACGUAAUUUCUGUAUUUCCUUCAAUCAAUUUCUCCAAAGGACUCAAGAUUCCUGUGGCUCUAUCAGAAACAAGAAUUAGUGAAAGCACAUACAUUUAGCUACCCAUUUGAUCUGAUAUUUAUGAUCUAACUCUAACAAUCUAAGGACAGCUUAUUCCAUUCUUGACGAUGGUUAUUCAAAAGAAAGAAUUUCUUUUCGCAUUUAAUAAAGCCAAUUCUCCAUUGAAUGGUUUGAAUGGUAAUUGGAUACAGAGGACUUAAAGACUCUCCAGAGUCGUUAUAGAAAGUAUCUUUAUCCCGUUCCACAAGAUGCAAUUAAUGCCUAAAAGCCAUUCCUCACAGUCCUAUGCAUUAUGCCACUUCUGGUCACAAUCAGAAUAAGAAGAAAAUUAGCAGAGAAGAAGACAUGACAUGAAAUCUUUUUUUGGCCACCAUGAUUUGGAAUUCUGUCACAGUGCAAAAUGCUGCCUAAUAACACUGUGUCAAUAAGCAAUUACCUUUCAUGGACGACAAUGUGACUAGAAUAUCCUCCCUUUGUGACUGUACCAUCCGCAUCGAUUCCAUCAAAAGUCAAAACCGCCUUUUCACAUUGGGUUUCUAGCCUGUCAUUGCAAUACUCGCACUCUCUGCAUGAAUUGACAUAAGUUCCCACCCCCACAUGAUUGCCAACUUUGAAGCGUUGGACACUGGAGCCAACCUGUUUCACAAUUCCAACUAUCUCGAGCCUGAAUCAAUCAAAAAAAUCAUUUGCAAAUUUUGUUCAGAGAAUUAUGAGGAUGGUGCUAAGAAAAAAAGAUUAACAUUCGAAUCACGCUGCAUCCUACCCUGGCACCAGAGGAUACUUGGAGUGUCCCUGCACAUUCCUAGUCCAAGCCACAUCUGCAUAGCACACUCCACAGUGCGUGAUCUUAAUCGAGACGUCUUCGCUUCCCACGGCCCUAAAGAGAUGAUUCCCAAACAGGUGAGCAUAUAAUCCAGUGAAUAAUCAGACUAGGGUACCUUUUUUUUCCAUUUUCAAGAUCAACAAACUAAGCUUGACCUACGAUUAUCGAGAAAACAAGAAACCAGAAAUGAGAAAAGGAAAAAUUCCAUGACUACAAGCAUAUUUGUCCAUACGGUAGAUACAACCUCAAAUGCUCAGAAAGGCAGCCAGUACAGGAUCCUCAUGUCUGCCAUGAAAUUCUGAGUAACCCAUAACCAACAAUUCUCGACCCAGAAUUCAGCGCAUACACAACAAAAGAAAGAACGAAAAAAAAUGAAAUGGUCUGGACCGAAAACUGUCUCGCAUGAACACUUCGGUAGAAAUCGAAAAACAAAUGGCAAUACCUGCGGGUGAAUUUGUAGGGGGAGAGGAACCCAGAAGGGUCCCGGGCAGCCCAACCGAGGCAAUCCUCCUUCCCACCCUCCGAGCUCAUCUUCUGUACCUACACACCCAGCGAAGCAAUCACACAAACGGGUACGGUUAGAUUCAUCCAAAGAAGAAGAAGAAGAAGAAAGGGUGAGAACUCGAACGAGAGAGUGCCCAAGAUCAGAGACUCGACGGGUCAUCACUAGGCGACGACUCGAGUCACAACAAGCUCGCCAUCACUCACUCACCUACACCCACCUACCCAAACACAACCCCACAGCAACUCAGAGAGAGAGAGAGAGAUGACUACGGAGAUGGAGAGAGGUUACGCGGUGGAGUAUGCGGGAGCGCGAAGAGGGUGAUGAGCCGAGCAGAGCCGAGGACGGGAGGUUCAACGAAGACUUUGCCCCCUCCCUACCUUGCAGGAGAGCUGCGAGUAAUCCGAUGGAUUAAAUUGGAAGGAAAAAUUAUCCCAAACUUUAGCUCAAUAUGUAACGUCAUCUAUAAAUUUUUAAUUUACUCGAUAUGAUUAUAUUAUAUGUUAUUGCAAAUUUUAAAUUAAUGGAAUAACAAUGUUGAAUAUUUUUAUAUAUUGAAUAUAUAUUAAAAGUUCAUUAACUAUAUUAAAUAAGUUAAAAGUUUACAGACUAUAUUUCGCAUUACAUUAAAGUUCAAGGACAACAUUAAAUAAAUUAAAAAUUUAGGGAUUACAUUGCAUGUUAGAUCAAAAUUCAAGAUCAUUUAUGUGGUUAUCACAAAUAACUACUAUCAAUGGAAUUACCAUUAGGAAAUUGAAUAUCUAAACGGAGUCGAAGAUAAGUAUUUAAGUUUGUCAUGCCCCGAACCCCGAAGGCGUGUCCAUCUCUCUUUGGUCGAUAAUAUUUUGUGACUUCUCAAGACAAGUCGUCAACCCUUUUUGUUUUAUUGCACAUGCGAAAGCAAAUAAUAAAUCUCCUGUUAGUAAUCAUCUUGGGAUAGAAACAUGACAACAGAUUCAUAAACAAACAUGCUUUUGUAAUUACAUAGUCAUGUAUAGGGUUUAUGACCAAAAGAUCACAAGGACUGGCUUUUAAAAAAGAAACGGUUCUAAUUGACCUACAUUUCUGAUCAUCUCCUCUCAGCUCUAGGUCCUUCACUUGACGACUUUGAAAGACAAUGUCUCAGUAAGUCCAUCUACUAAACCCUGAUUAUGAGGGAAAUACGCUUCAGGACACUCUAGUCACACAACCACACAAUUAGAUAGGAAACUUAUCUCGCCUUAGUUUCUUCCUAUAGAUUAGCACAAUUCAUAUCUCAAAUGCAUGCAAUUUAUGCAUAUGACAAUUAAAACGCCUUACUUUUCUUAAUCAAUUACAAGGGUCUCAGCCCAGUUCAUCAUAGGAGUCUCAAUUAUAAGACCAAACUGUUAUGAUACAAUCCAUAUCAUGCCACGCAAUUUUGUCUCAUAAUCAAGCGCAUCAAACUCAGACAAUCAUGCGUUCCAAUUGUUAAUUAAGCCACUCAAGGCACUGUCGACAUCCAUGUUCGAUAGUCUAUUGGCAUAGCCAGGUAUCGUCUCUUCCUCAUAGAGCACGGCUACGUCACAUUGGCGACUAUCCCGAACGCGCUUAGGUCCAGAAUCUACUACGACCCGCUACCCUAAUGCAUGGGUAACCUGAAAAGUGGGAUUUAGUAAUGUCCAGCGUAAACGCUAGGACGGGUUCACUUUAACCAACACACGACCACUCAAUCUCGGCCUAGGAUACUGUGCAUUGUACACAAAUGCCUUAAUUAAAGUAGUGAUCCUGGUAUAUUUUCUUCGUAUUAAAAACAUUCCAGAAAAUAGUCGUGUGUGGGUAUACAAUCAGAUUGAACCCAAAAAAUUCAUAACAUUCUUUUAAAAAAUCCAAUGGUUUAUACUGUAUAUAAAACCAUUUUCGGUAUUUAAAACCCGACACCCAAGAUUUUCUGAAUAAAUAACAAAUUUUAUAAAUUUUUAGAAUAAAUGUCCAAAAAUCCAAUUAACACUCAAUUUGCGUAAUUUAACACUCGAUUGUAGAAAUUAACCACACCAUUGCAAUUAGUACGAAAUUCCGAUCAUUGGCUAUCCCGGCCUAAUUUGCGGAAAAUAUUUAAUAAUUAAUUAAUUUCUAAAAUUAAUUAAAUAAAUCAAUUUAAAUACUAAAAUGCCAACCUAGGCCAAAAUCACUAAAUUAAAUACCAACACGGACCCAAAAAAUUCUUGAACCCUUCUAGAUAAAUAACACAAUUUAUCUAGGUCUCACUUAAUCUAAUCUAAUCACCUAACAUGUAUAAUUGCAUAAUUAAAUCACUAAAUUAAUCUAACUAACCACCUAAUUCAUAAUUAAAUAAAUAUAAACACAUCUUAGACAUCAUUAGCCUACUAAGAAGAGUUUAGUGAAUAAACUCACCGGUUAAUUGCGAAAACCGGUUCACUGCGAUGAUGACGUGACAGCAGCUGAAAUCCGAAUUUUCGGUAGCAUCGAUAGACACUCAGACCGGGCACAAAAACCUUGCAAGCCCACAGCAAAUUGCUAGGCUUGGUCUGGGCUUGACCUGAACUUGGGCCUGAGCUUGGGCUGACUUGCUUUGUGGGCUUGGGCUCGGAACAAAAGCUGAAAUUACGAACUAGGCUUGCGACACUUGCUGGGCUUGACUGAAGAUGGGCUACUGCGCAGGCUCAAAGGAGCUGCUGGGCCGGAAUUGUCGCAGUGAAGAUGGACUUCAAAUUGCUGGGCCGAGAAGCCUAGCCCGUUCACGGCCACAGCUGGGCUGAGCUAGGGCCGAAGACACAAAAUGGAGAAACGGGCGUGGAAGCUGGGCUGCUUCAACUUCGCUGGAAACGUGGAUGGCUUGAAGGAACUGAGGCAGCCACGAAGAUGGAAGAAGCAACGUCGACGAACUGCUUGGGACGAUGGCAGCUGGUGGAAGAGUCAACUUCGGUGGUCACAUGGGCUGGCUUAUUGACCGAGAGAGGGCAGGCGGUGGACGUGUGGCAGCUACUGGAUCCGCGUGAGGCUUCGGUGGGUUUUGUUUCGCGGAGAUGAGCUGCUCGGUUGAAAGAAAAAUCGGUGGUGUUGAGCUGGCGAUGUGCAGGCGUGCGUCGUUGAAGAUUUCUUGGUCAAUAAACGGCAAUAUGACAAAGAUGGUGGCUGGCUUCGGUUUUGAGGGAUAAUGGGGAGAAAACAAAGUUGCAGGUGUGCGGCGUGGAUGACCGAAGGGGAUUGGGCGAAGGAAAUGAAAAUAAAAGAAUGAAAGGAACGGCAGAAGCUGAGGAAGAAGUGUUCGUUUUUCUUGGUGAGUGAUAGAGAGACAAAAAGUCCAACACUCAGCCAAAUUCAUAAAUGCUUGGUCCCCUUAGACCUUCACUCUUAUCCCUUUUGUCUCCAAUUACUUUCUAAGCUUUCUCUUCACCAAUAAACCUAAUUUUGAAGCCCAAAAUUGUUGCCCUUUUCCAAAUCCGAAUUUCACAAUUUUUGGCCUUCAAUUUCUUCAACAAUUUCCCAAAUUCGACGUCCAAUUUUGAUGUAAAAAAAACCUACAUAAUUUCUACUAGUCCCCCUCGCCAUAUAGCUCGGUUUGCAAGGCGAAAAUCUCUUCAUUUUGACUGAUCCGAAUUUCCACUAAUUUUUCGCAACGUCCAAAUCGAUUUUUCGUAAAAAUCUCGGGAUCCUCAAAAAAUCUUCGGAGGAUGACGACGUUCCUAAAAUAGAUCGUGACAUGAUAGAAAUUUUAAUUUUUAAAAUCGGGUUCAAGUUCGCGGUUAAUUUCAAUCCAACGCGUUUUUAGCGUGACCUAAUCUACUAGGUAACUUUUAUGAAUUUUUUGUACAAUUGACCCGUGAUCGAUUUAUCUCGAGUCACAUUGUACAUAUUCGAUACAUGACGACUCUCGAUUGUUGUGAAAAUCUCGAGAUAUCAAUUACGGGCACCAGGUACCAAAACGAUAGAAAAUCGAUUUAGUGCCGAUCGACGAGUAUUUUGCAAUUAGGUGGAAUCACUUACACUCUAAUCACACAUCUCACUCAAGUUAACCUAUCUUCGGUCUCUAAUUGAUUUCGACAGUAUUGUAAUGACCCUUCCAGAUCAACACGGUUAAGCAAUCAAUUCCUGGUCGAAUUCUCAAGUCCAUUGUAUUUAGAUUCCUUAAUUGUUUCUCCAGAUAGUCUAGUUAUCUUGUGAGUGAUCGGCUCAAAGAAUAGCACUAUCAACGCGUCGACGAAAGGCCCAAUUUAUUUAAUUGAAAACGAAUUAUGAAAGUUCAAGCUGUCACAAAGUUUGCCCUAAGCAUUGAAAAAUAAAAUAAAAUAAGGGGACAAUCUAAAGAGUUUAGUACAAUUUUAGUCUUGGGAGUUUCUAUGUUACAUAUGAUCUAGUCCUCUAACUUUUCUAUUUUUAUACACUCAAAUCUUUUGUCAUAUUUAGUUUUUAUGCAAUUAAGUUUUAUUUUUUCAUUCAAGUCAAUCAACGUUCUCAACUAGUGCAAUCGAGUACUUCACUCACCCAUCAUAACACACAAUUCCAUUUUUCUUUUUCUAAGUUUACUUUUCGCUUAUUUGGCACCACCUCAACAUUGUGCGAUAUUUUCUACCUCAAUGAUAAUACUAUGUUAUUGAUUACUAUGACGCAUUCAGCAAGAGGAUUUAUUGAACGAUUUAAUUGCACGAAUCAAGAAAGUUAGAAGACUUGAUUGAACAAAAUAUAAAGUUAAGAGGAUCAAAUUGUGCCGAUAUGGAAAUUUGGAUGACUAAAAUUGCAUCAAACCCUUUUAUAGGGAGAUGGGUCAGCCACAAUAACAUAUUCUUUUUCAGUGACUGGCUUUGACACAACCAAUACAACAGUAGUACGAAAAUGAAAGAUGAGUGGACAAAAGAAGGGCAACAGAUGUUAAACGAAACCUGUUUCCCAAAAGCACCAUGCAGAAACUUCCUUUCAUUGGAAAAUUUUUCUUGAAACGGAACUAAAGAUUACUGGCUUCGACAUAAUCGAUGAACAUACCAAGAGCUGAGGCCUUAUCCAACAACAACGUGAAAAUGAAAAAUGAGUUGAAAAGAAAUGGACAGCAGCUGUCAAAUUAAACAUUUUUUCCAUGUCUCGUUCAGAACUUGUCACUCCCUCAUUACCAUCUUGACCCUUUUGAAAUUGGAAGUGAAGGUUACUGGCUUCGACAUGACCAAUGUAUAACUUGUCGCUCAUGCAAUAUGGUAUAUAGAAAUGAAAGAUGAGUAGAAAAAGAAAUGGACGAUUGCUGUCAAAUUAAAACCUUUCCCAAGUCAACUUGUCGCUCCCCUUCCUUCCAUUAAAAUGCUUUUAUGGUGGAACUGAAGAUUACUGGCUUUGACACAACCAAUGUAAACCCUCCAAGAGGUGAGAGAACUUAUGCAAAAGUAUAAAAAUGAAAGACAAGUCGAAAAGAUGAGGACAAUAACCAAACGCGUGCAACUCAAUUGCACUUUUCGAUAAGGAUAAACUGUACCUCUCCUCAUCAUUGAAAGAGAUAGGAUUAAACGCAGACGUGAUUGACAUAGAGAUUCUUACUAGAAAUUAAAUAAAAAUAAGUCUUUCUUGGUAACAGGAUGUUUGUUCUCGUGACCGUGUAGGUCUUUCUAGGUUCUCUGACGCGUGCCAUGAGGUCAUGGCAUGUUAUGCAACCAGAGAUAUCCAUUCCAUAUUUCUAUGGUAACUAUCCAUCGUUACCUCCUGUGAACCUAAGAAGAACAAAACCAAUCCAUAAAGCUGUGGAGGAUCAAGAACAACCCGCCCUAAGUUAUUGAUGAACUGAGUUAACUGUUUGAAGCCUAAGUAGCGAAUCAUUUAAAGUUUAAGCUACUAAAAUGUCAGAUGCCAAACAGAAGGAAAAUCUACAGAGCCAACAUCUGCAUCGGAUCAACGAUGGCAUAUCAACAACUAAGGGAAAAAUCUGCUACUAAAUAUUUAUCUGAAACUACAAGCGAGGAUCGCGUUGCACUUGCAUAAGUCUGUUAACGCAGGUCAAUGGUCAUGUUCUGGCCAGCUAUGUAAGAAGUUUGAAAACUCUACACGGACAGGCACCAUUUGCAAGAAGACCUGUUCCCUCAAAUGCUCAUCUUUGUACUGAGCUGGAAAUGCUUUUAGCAGAUGACUGUGCCUCCAGAAACAAAUCGCACGAAGUGGCCCACAAUUCUCUGGCAAGUCCGGUGUCGUACGAAACUGAAGAAGAGUUGAUAGUCCGGCACUUCCCACCAAAGAAUACACACCAGAAAUUUCCUAUAUUUGCAAGACAGCGGCUAUUAGUAAGCACUGUUCCAACAUAUAAUAGCAGCCGCAUAAGAUUGAUACCACAGAUUAUCAGCAGAGAAGGGAAAAUCAAUUCUGGAAACACUCUGUCAUACCGUAGAAUCAACAUUAAUGGAUUUUAUGUCCAAUGCUAGUACGACCUCAAUUGAGGAUAAAACGAGAGAGACUCAUUCAAGAUGGUUCAGAUAAGUGAAGCACCAGUACAGGAAUGCUUUACACCAGCCCCAUUUAGUGGGAAAAAAUCACUAUCACCCAUAUCUGCAGCUGUGGUUGCCUAUUGAGAUGAAACACAAGUGAUUUCAUUGCAGUCCCAUCUAGCAGUCCCAUCUAGCAUAUAGCAGAAAUUAAAGAUAACGAUUGCAGUCAGAAAAACACAUAAGAGAAUUGUUGCUGUAACUCUCUUUACUUUAUUCAUCAGAACAUAAGCCUAUUAAAUACGCAGAACAUCCAAACCACUAAGCAAGAAAAUAGCUAUAGAACAACAACAACAAAGACCCACUAACACACCCCACUGACCAGAACAUGUGGAGAAACUAACUCCUAAAAACAAGCCACUUCCUAUUGAAUAGGACUCCACUAUUACAUUAUUGAAGACAUGUAAAAACUGAAAGUUCACUACUUCAACAAUUGAUGGUGUCACUUCAAGGAGUUCUCAAUGUCGAUCACAAAUCGAUACUUAACAUCUCUCUUGAUGAGCCUCUCUAGAGCUUCGUUGGCAUAAUCGAUCGGUAUCACUUCGAUAUUUGGGUAUAUCUUCUGCGCUGCACAUAGGUCUAUCAUUUCUUGGGUAUCCUUUGUUCCUCCCGUUAGGCUACCUGAAACAGUUCUCAUAUCUGCCAAAAGUUCACCGCGAGCAACUUAGUUCACCUAUCAGGUAUAAAAUUUCUUUUAGUAAUCAGAUUUAGAACAAAAACAUACUGUGGUUAAGGCUGGCUGGACUGAAUUUAACUUCGCUCGAGCCGACCAAUGCUAGAAUGCCACCCGUCUUCAAAACAGACAUGUAAGGAUCAAAUGGGUGAUUGCCGGAUGCCGUGUCAAUUAUAAAGUCCAGGGACUUAGCAAUGGCCUGCGUGCAUUGGAUUUAUCAGAUCACAACAGAAUUUGACCACCAUGGAUCUCAAUGUGGGAUAAUUCUAGUUUUUCCUUUUUUUACCUUCAUUUGCUCUACGUCAGAUGAGAUAACGAAAUGGUCAGCCCCAAGCAGGCUCAGUGCUUCCUCCUUUUUAGAAAUGCUUGUACUGAACACUGUGACUUUCAGGUCCAAAAGCCUUCCCAAACUUAACUGCCAUAUGACCGAGCCCGCCAAGUCCAAUUACACCUAGAGACUUACCAGGUUGGUUCAUCUUGUGACGUAUCAUUGGAGUGUACACCGUGAUUCCAGCACAGAGCAAUGGCGCUGCUAGAUCCAUCGGGUAGUUUUCUGGAAUCCUGAAGCAAUACCUGUCAAUGAAGCACCACCAUUAAGUUUCCAAAUAACACCAAGACAGGAAGUGAUUUCCCAAUAGAAUCAGCAUCCUGUCUUUUUUGUCUAAAAGGAAUCAAAUCACAGAGCCAGAAAUCCUAUCUUCCGCAUGCUAAGGAAUUUUACUUGCUUAGACCACAAUUCAGCAUCAUGUUGUUUCCGUGAUCCUUGUUCUGACCACAAAUUGCUCAAGACAAACAUUUCUUGCUGUAGCAACGAAAAUAAAGCAAUUGCAGCACACCGGAGGCCACACUCGAUUAAAAUUAAGAAAAGUCACUUGCUCUAAGAAAGGAAACUGGUGGCAUAUCACAUAUGCUUGAUUGAACACGUAAUUUCUGUAUUUCCUUCAAUCAAUUUCUCCAAGGGAGUCAAGAUUCCUGUGGCUCUAUCAGAUACAAGAAUUACUGAAAGCACAUACAUUUAGCUACCCAUUUGAUCUGAUACUUAUGAUCUAACUUUAACAAUCUAAGGACAGCUUAUUCCAUUCUUGACGAUGCUUACUGAAAAGAAAGAAUUUCUUUUCGCAUUUAAUAAAGCCAAUUCUCCAUUGAAUGGUUUCAAUGGUAAUUGGAUACAGAGGACUUAAAGACCCUCCAAAGCAGUUAUAGAAAGUAUCUUUAUCCCUUUCCACAUGAUGCAUUAUGCCACUUCUGGUCACAAUCAGAAUACGAAGAAAAUUAGCAGAGAAGAAGACAUGACAUGAAAUCUUUUUUUGGCCACCAUGAUUUGAAAUUCUUUCACAGUGCAAAAUGCUGCCUAAUAACAUUGUGUCAAUAAGCAAUUACCUUUCAUGGACGACAAUGUGACUAGAAUAUCCUCCCUUUGUCACUGUACCGUCCGUAUCGAUUCCGUCAAAAGUCAAAACCAUCUUUUCACAGUGGACUUCUAGCCCGUCAUUGCAAUACUCGCACUCUCUGCAUGAAUUGACAUAAGUUCCCACACCCACAUGAUCGCCAACUUUGAAGCGUUGGACACUGGAGCCAACCUGUUUCACAAUUCCAACUAUCUCGUGCCAAUCAAUCCAAAAAAUCAUUCGCAAAUUUUGUUCAGAGAAUUAUUAGGAUGGUGCUAAGAAAAAAGAUUAACAUUCGAAUCACGCUGCAUCCUACCCUGGCACCAGAGGAUACUUGGAGCGUCCCGACAUAUUCCUAGUCCAACCCACAUCUGCAUAGCACACUCCACAGUGCGUGAUCCUAAUCGAGACGUCAUCGCUUCCCACGGUCCUAAAGAGAGAAUUCCCAAACAGGUGAGCAUCUAAUCAAGCAACUAAUCAGACUCAGUUACCUUUUGUUCUCAUUUUCCAGAUCAAUAAACUAAGCGUGGCUUACAAUAAUCAUACAUUCAACCCAAAGCAAAAUUUAAGAAAAGAGAAAUGAAAAGGAACCAAAUCCAAGACUAUAGCAUUUGUCUGAAUAGUACAUACAACCUCAAAUGCUCACAAAGGCAGCACCUGAAUCCUAAUGUCUGCCAUGAAGUUCUAAGCAACUCAUUCUGGGACAUGACAUCUCAUGCGUACGAACAAUUCUCUACCCAGAAAUUAGUGCAUACACAACAAAAUUUAUAAAAGCAAAACGAAAUGGUUUGGUUAAUGUGGAAAUUUAAAUAUAUGACAAGCAUCAAAAACUGUUUUGCAUUACAGGUGAGAGGAUAAGACCUGAGAACACUGUAUUGAGAUUAUUCAGACAAAUACUUCAAUAGAAAUUGAAAGUAUAAGGAGCAGAUGAAUUAAAUAAAGAACAAUGGUAACAGUAAUACCUGCGGCUGAAUUUGUAGGGGGAGAGACGUCCAGAAGGAUCUCUGGCAGCCCAACCAAGACAAUCUUCCUUCGCACCCUCUGAACUCAUCGUUCCUCAACGACCUCAACUGAAAUCGACCCACAAAAAAAUUGCUGCGUUAAUCUCUCAAUAAGCUGAAUUAUGGAAGAAGAAGAAGAAUUAUUUUCGUGAAAGAGAAAUGAAGAAGAGAAUUUCAAACCGAAAAACAGAAGUUCAAAUGGUCAAAAGGCCAAAUGUCACGAAGACUUGGCAAUUCCGUUUCCGUGCAGACAGGAUUUUGCUGUCUGACUUUUGAGCAAAGAGCGAGAUUGAUUAGCAGAGAACGAGGUUGAGCGCUCAAAAACCGUCACCUCUUUAUAGAUGCCAUAGCGUCGCCUGUUCUUGAUUUUUUUUUUCGUUUUAUCUUGUGGAAAAGAAUUAGUGCCAAACGUAAGCCAUUACCUUUCCCAGUAACGUCUUCUGGAGUACGGUUCUUGGUAUUUGCGGAAAUGUGUGUUUGAUGUGUGUGUAAGUGUGUUUUGUGUGUGAACUAUCAAGAGAGCAAAAGAACUAAAAAACGAUGUGAGGAAGAAAUAGUUGGACAAAAUAAUAAUGAGAAUGUGUAAAAGACAAUAAGGCUGAGGCGGUGAAGGAGAGAAACUUGAAUGAAAGUCAACAAUAGUGGCUGAAGAUGAAACUAGUAUGUGGACAGAAAGAGUAUUUGGAGAAGAAAAUGAGUUGUCUUGUAGCUGUACUGCGGCAGUGAAAAAGUGAAAAAUGUCAUGUCGGUUGUAAUUGCCUAUAUAGGCUUAUCAUAUGCUGUGUGAGGUGAACCCUUCACCUUGUGUGGGGUGACCCCUCCACUGUGAGAGGUCUUAGACCUCCACCAUGACCAUAUGAAGAGUGACUAUCAACACCUCCAUUAAAUUAUUUUGUCUUCUUCAAUAAGUUCUUGACAGCUGGAGUUUGAUGAAGAAACUUUGAUUCAUGCUUCUAUUUCUCAUGCACGUAGACUUCUUUAGCCUGUUCUAGGAUUUCUUCUUCAACUUGGCUUUUUCUUACUUGCAUUCCCAUGUGAAUCUUUUAGGUUCAGCUAGCAACCAUCAUUCUCAACAAGUCUAAACAAUCUUCAACAUGGAUGCUGCUACCAACGUUUAUUAAUUUUUAGACAGUUUUAGAGAAAAUGAAUUAUAAUUUCCAACAUAUAGUAUUUUGGAGAAAAAAGUAUUUCAGCAUAACUGUGCAAGGAUUUGUAGAUCACUACAACAUCACCGGAGGCAAAUAAUUAUCCGUCAUUGACAUGAACGAUAUAGAAAAAAUUCUUUUAAUCAUUUACCUUAGUUUAGCAAGAUCUGCUUAAACGACAGCCUUGAGUAUCUUCAAUUCCUUUUCUCUUGCCUUCAAAAAGAUAUUGAAAUGCGACACGGAAUAUCAAGACAGAUUGUCAUUGACAAAGCCGUAAAAGCCUACUCGAUCUGGCAAAACUGGGGACUGUUCUUUCCAACGAUCUUGACCACCUCGGCAGCUGCUGUGCAAAUGGAUAGGAAUGCAUGCAGAGGGACAAGCUGAUUGUUACCUGCUUUUAGUCGUUCAUUUGAAACUGUAAGAUUCAUGUGCCAUAAGAUAGCUAGACAAGCGAGCAAAAAAUGAUGCGCCUUGCACCAAAGGUGGCAAGAGCAAUUAAAUUAAAUUCAAACCAAAAAAAGCUUGAUGCAUAAAAUGAAAAGUCAUCCUUUGAGCGAAUAAAUGACAAAGUAAGUGCAAUGAGAGUCACUAAUGUUCACGCUAGACUUAUGCCAUGACCAUUCCUUAGUCGAGAGAACGUAAGCAGCGACAUCUUCUAGAUAGUGGUUACUAGCAAUUUUAUUUUUUAUCCCCAGCCUAAUCAUAUUAUCCGAGUUAUAAGCUCAGAAAGAAGUCAAUGAGCAAUCUACCGCUAGGACCUAUGAAUGGUCAUACGAUAUUGGUUACACAUCUUGUUAGAAUAUAAUAUGCGGAAAUAAUAGGAUCUUGCAAUUUACGUCAACGCGCAAAAUUCCAGAUAAAUAAACGAGAAAUAAUAAGAAUCAUAAAUUUACGUGAUUCAGUCCGAGUAUCGAUAUUUACAUUCACAGGGAGAGCCAGCAACAAAUAGUCCAUUAUAAUAGGAAAAUCAGAAUUUACAAUCGCACACACGCUCGAUUACUUCCCACACCAAGAUUUAAGCUCAUACUCAAAGAGUUUAUAAAUAAAUAAUUCACUUGGAAAUUAUCUCGCGUUCAAGCUUUAAACUACAAAACAUUCUACGUACGCCAAAAACAAGAACUCCGGCAUUUGUCUUUUGGUUCGCGUACAUACAGAUUCGUGUUCUUCUUUGCUUGAUCGUUCGUGUGGCGCUGUUCUAGACGCUCCUUUUGUGUGGCUCUUUCUUCUUCGUAGGGCUUCAGCGACUCUUUCUAAAAGAAAAAAAAAAAAAACGUGUUCUAAUUUAUAUGUGAGCCUAGAGUCUAACAACUUUGACUUUGAGCCCCACCACGUGCUUCUUUGUUCAAUGGGAAGUGGGACGCGGUGAAGAGACCCUACCUUUUUCUUCCUCUUUCCUUUAUUUUAUAUAUAUUGUGUGCCCAAAGUUAAGACUUUGACUUUGGGCCCCACGUAGAGAGCCUUGUUCGGCUCCCGUAGAUAGAUAAAGAAGAAUCUUUGCUCCUUUUUUGUUAUUCUAUUUUAUUUUCUCUUUUAUAAACUUUCAUGGAGUCCGACGAAGCUUUUUUUUGUUGAUCGAAAAUAUCCAAGACCCAAAAAGAAUUUCGAAUUUCUUUUCUUGUGCAUAAUCUUGAAUAUUAUAUUCAUCAGAAAAUAUCUUCACGAUCAAAUAAUAAAAAAUUUAUCCAAGCAAAUUGCGUUUUGCAAAUAUUUAAAAUUGAGACAUAAUUUAACACAUCUGAUAUGAUGUACUACCCAAUUACUGUCCUCUGACAAUUUAUAUUUGAUUAAUUUAUUUCAAGAAUAUUCAUUUGUUAAACUUGUUGGCUUACAAAUCACUGUCACUAUCACGUGAUAUAUCCUAUAUUGAGAAUACUUGGGAGCAUCUAUGCUUGUUUUAUGUAUGUUAUGCUUGUGAUGCAUCUUGUUUUGAGUGGACUGUAGAACUAUUUAAGUUCAUGCCAAUUUGACUAAUUUUUUAUCUGGAUAAGUGCAUUGGAAUAUUUAAAAACUUAUCAUAAAAAUACAAUUAAGCCAUGAAACUUUGAAAUCAAGUUCUAGAACUUGUCACGUUGGUCUAAUCUAAAUCCUUCCAUUGCAUUUUUGAAAAUUUCAGUACUUAACUACAAUUUUCUAACAAGUUUUAGUAUUUCCAAUAUACAUAUUUGUCUUUCAACCUCACUAAUGUUUUUAAGCAAUAAUGAGCUUGACAUAUCUCUGAUUUCGGAAUUUCAAUGGCUAUAGGAGACAAAAGGACGUCCUCUAAUGAAUCAACAAUCUUAUGCCAUGACAAAGCUGGAAGAGAGAUGAGUGUCUUCCAUAGUUAUAAAAAAUGUUCAUGCGAUAAUCUGUAGGAAUUCGUCUUCCUGACGUGCAUGAAUAUUUCCGGCCAUGAAACAUUUCACAGUGAAGACAUUCUGUCACUUAAACUGGCAAAAGGAUAUUGAGCUUGUUCUUUUGGCGAGGGUAUUGCUAUUAAAUAUGCCAAUUAAUUCCACGACUAUUAGCAUUUGUUUAAAUAGAGCAUACAACCUAAAAUGCUCACAAUGGCAGCUGGUACUGGAUCCUCAUGUCUGCCCAUGAAAUUCUGAGUGCCUCAGACAUGGCAUAUCAUGCACACAAACAAUUCUCAACCCAGAAAUUAGUGCGUACACAACAAAAGUUAAAAAAAGAAAAAAAGAAAUGGUUUGGUUAAUGUGGAAAUUUAACAUAAUGACAAGCAUAAAAAAACUGUUCAGCAGUACAGUAGAGAGGUCAAGACCUGAGAACACUGUAUUGAGACUUAUUCAGAUGAACACUUCAGAUAGUCACUAAAAAGCUAAGGAGCAAAUUGAAUAGAGAAGGGAAAAGUGCCAAAAAAGUCCUAAAACUUUUGUCAUUGUGCCGAUUUAGUCCUAAACAUUUUUAAGUUGUGCAAAUUCAGUCCUUUCCGGCCAAUUUUGCCCGGAUUUUGCUGACUGGACGCCAGUCAGCUGACGUGGACAAUUUUUAAUAAUAUUUUAAUAUUUUAAUAUUUUAUUUUUUAUUUUUUUAUUUUUUUUAUUCUGCUCUUCUUCCUCCAGCCGGUCGCCGGACCUCGGCGACCAGCCACCUCGCCAGUGGCCGCGGGGGCGGCCUCGCGUGGGGCGGCGAGGCUCACCCUCGCCGGAUCUGGCAAGGGUCGAGCCUCGCCCAUGGCCGGCGAGGCCGCCCUCGAGGCCUGGGCUGCGAGGCUCGCCCUCGUCGGAUCUGGCGAGGGCGAGCCCCGCUAGCUUGCCGGAUCUGGAUUUGGCGAGUGAGGGGGUUUGAGCAGGGGGAGAGAGUCAGAGGGGGUAAACCGCUGGCCACCCACCUGAGCCGCGGCCGUCGGCCUACGGCCGCGCCUGGUUUCAAGCACCGAAGCUUCGGUAGGCCUCGGUCCUUUUUUGUGCCUUGCGUUGGUCGGACUAGGCCAGAGCUCGCGGUCUUCAAGGAUUCGGUUCGAGAUCUGAGGGCGUUUGAUCUGGGCGGGACUUGAGAGAGAGAGAGUCCUCUCCCGGCCAAGCCGAGGAAACCCUGGCCACGUGAGACCACCGCCACAAUGCUGCCGCCCAAUGCCGUCCACCGCUGCUCGCCGACCCGCCGCCAUAUCCAGCGAGGGCGAGCCUCGCCCGCCCCGCGCGAGGCCACCCCCACGGCCACUAGCGAGGUGGCUGGCGAGGUCGAGGUCGACCUCACCGGCCGUCACCUCUGGCCGGUCGCCGAGGUCCGACGACCGGCUGGAGGAAGAAAACCAGAAUAAAAAAAUAAAAAAAUAAAAUAAAAAAUUCAAAAAUAUUAAAAUAUUAUUAAAAGUUGUCCACAUCAGCCGGCCGGCGUCUAGUCAGCAAAAUCCGGCCAAAUUGGCCGGAAAUGACUGAAUUGGCACAACUUAAAAAGGUUUAGGACUAAAUUGGCACCAAAAAAAGGUUUAGGACUAAAUCGGCACAAUGACAAAAGGUUUAAGACUUUUUUGGCACUUUUCCCAAAUAAAGAACAAUGGUGAUGAUAAUACCUGCGGUUGAAUUUGUAGGGGGAGAGAAGUCCUAGAAACCGUCAUAAAUGCCAUAGCGAUGGAUGUUCAUGAUUAAUCUUUGAGCUUACUAUUGUGGAAAAGUAUUAGUGAUUCGCCAAAUGUAACCCAUGACCCUUCCUUAACCCAAGAACGCAUGCAGUGACAUCUUCUAGAGAGCGGCUCCUGGAAUUUUUUCCAUCCAUCCUCCCACUACCUAAUUGCAUUAUCAACCUAUUGACACAUAAACGAUGUCAAUAGGCAAUGUGCCGUUGCACCACAAGACCCACAAAUGGUCAUCUAUGUCGGUUACACCACCAAUAAUUUGUACCUGACCCUUCAUGGUCCUAUUAUUUGAUUAAUCUGUUUAAAGAACAUUCAUUUUCUUCAAACAUGCUUUCUCACGUGCCACUGUAAUAUGAUGUUUGUUGCGACCUACCUUCGGAGGGAAGGAAUAGGUUUAGGGGUAUUGGCUAAAGGACGGGCCUAAAGCCUAUAAUUAGACGCGAGCUCUCCUAAACCUAUAUCCCGCAUGACGUUAGGAUAUUCUUAAGAAAUUUUGCUCGCCACUAACCUAUUGGGGUCGGCUAGAAACCAAGUGAGGCAUGGGAGCGUGCCUCACUUUCUACGCAACCAGAGAAUCUGGGUUCGAGGACUUAAUUACACUAAUUAACUAAUUAGUACCCUUUCGAUACCUAAUCUUGUUCAUUUUAACAAAAUGAUUUUUGGCAGGCAGUUUGAAUUGAUUUUAUACUUAUCCACUGACAUAUGAUCAUGCAGAUGCGCAAUCAUUUAAAAUAAUAAUCAUAACUACCAAGAUCCUAAUUAUAGUAAAAUUAACUCAUGCAACUAAACAAUCGCAGACACAGUCGAAUAUGUAAGUUAAACAUGCAAUAUAAUCAAAAUACGAACAAAUAAAUACCGAAUUACACAAAGAAGGGCAAUACACAACAAUUCCUAAUCAAACCCUAUAUUUUUGGAUUUACGAAUUUUUUUAUAUAUAUAUUUUUUAAAUUUAAUAAUUUUGUUUUUUUAAAUAAAUUAAAUUUUCUUUUUAAAGAAAGAUUUUUUUUUAUGUUUUCUGGAUUUUUUAAUUUUCGGAAAUUUUUUGAUUUUUGAUUUUUUUUUUUGAAUUUUUAUAUUUUUAAUAUUUAAUAUUAUUAUAAUCAGGAAAACGGGUCCGACUGGGUAGAUCCGAUGCGGCCAUUGACCCGACCCAAAACCAGAUUCGACUCUAUCGGAUUGAAAGAGAAAAUAAGAUUUUUAAUUAAUUUUUUUAGUUUUUAAACACUUUUUCUGUUUUUUCCUUCUCCUCCUUUUUUGGCCUCCUCCAUGUCUUGUCUUUUCCCUGCAGUCUUCUCAUCCUCGCCGCCUUCACCGAAGAUCCGCCCCCCACAUCUUUUCCACAUUUCUAUUCUUUUUUUUCUUUUUUUUCUUUUCACCACCCUUUUAUUUCUUUUAUUUCUUGUUUUUCUUCUAAGCUUUUCUUUUAAGUUGUCUUCUCUGCAUGCUUUCUUCUCCGCUCGAAGCUUCCAUUAAACACCCGAAACCCCCUCUGCCAUUUCAUACUUUUCUUUUAUUAUUUAUUAUUUUGCCUUUUUAUAUUUCUUUUUCUUUAUUUUUCAUUUUUUUUCUCUCUUUUUGUCCUUUUCCCUAUUUCGGCUAUUCUACUGCAUCUUCUCCUUCCGAAAGCUAACGCCAAUUCUGCAACUUCCUCGCCGAAGCUCCUUCCCACCGAAUCUCAUCCGCACACUAACGACACGGCCCUGAACAAUCGGUGACCCUUCCAUCGCCCGUCCACCGGUAGUCGCUACCCCACGGAAAGAUGAACAGGCGCAAAAGAACAACAAGAAGACAAGGAAUGGAACACGGGUCCCUAAGAUAUUAAGGAACUACGUCAACAUCAAGAAAUGUUCAGAUUCAGCCAUAACAACAACAAAACCUAAACGAAAUCAUGCUCAAUGAUCCAUAAAGGAUUCCUUUUACGCAAGACCGGAGCAUACUCAUUCCAAAUGAUCCGAAAUUCACGACCUAAUCCGCGUUAACUUAGUUCAAGCGUUUUAUCAAACACGUGGUAAGCACUGACUCGGGAUGAGGUUAUUAACUCCUCUUUGGACCCGCUCGAGUCUAGACCCAGAGAAAUCAUCAAGAAACAUGCAAAAUCGACCACAUCAACUUACUCAAACUCAGCGUGCAUAUGGGCUGACAAAAGGAACAAGACAUGGCUUCCGGUUAGACCAAAACAAGGUGGAGCAGCAAGGGUUCAUGCGAACAAGCAUCUCAUCACGGAGUUCCCUACCCAACUCGAAGACGGCAGGAAGCGGGCCAACUCGCGACAAAUCGAGCUAUAGCUCGCCGCUUUGGUAUCUUCGAGCUGGGACCCUAAUCGAAAUGCAUCCAUUUGUCUCAUGCACUAUGGGGAUCCUCGGGCAAGAGAGGUUUGAACCGAGUAAAGAAACUCACCAGCGACGCCGAGAUUCGGGGGCGAAAGAUCGUAUGCUAGAGGAUAUUGGCCAGAGGUCGUCGAAGACGGUUCGAGCGUGGCCGACCUGCUACAAAACUUCUCCCUCGCUUUUGUGCUGGUGUUUUCUCCGUUGCUCCUUCUGCCAAGCCCCCCGCUCCCUCUGUUCUUCUCCUGUUUUCUUUUAAAACUGCCGUUGGUUCAUUUCCCUUUGCCUCCGUCCAAAAUGCCUUUUGCUAGUCCACGAAGCCAGCUCUCUUUCUUUUCCAUCUUCAGCUCUAAUUUUCCUCGGUCAGUCCAGCCUCCUUGCCUCUAUGUAUGCCUGCAGCCGGUCUUCUCCUUGGGACCGAGUUCGGUCUAUUUUCAGCUACAACGGCUGCUGGUUUUCUUGGGCUUCGUCAACUGCAGGCGCUGCCACGCUGCAGCCAAGCUUUCAUUGCUUCCAUUUUUCUGAAAUCGCACUUGCCGAUCCUCUGCAGAUCCUUCUUCGGCUUCCUCCUGUUCUGUCUUCUACAGGUCCUGCGCGAAGAUUGGAGGAGGGAGAAGGAUGGGGCGCGGGCUGGGCCGACGGGGGGAAAGGAGGCUGGGCCGCGGGGGGAAAAGAAAUAUAAAAAAAAAAAAAAAUUCUUGAUUUUUUUAUUGACUUUUCGAUUGAUUUUUUUUUUUUUUGUAAAAAUAGGUAUCAACAAUGUUUUUGAUACACAAAAUACUAUCUCUUCAAGAGCUUUGACUCCUAUAUACUUGGGGCAUUAAAUUUUUUUAGCAACAAUGAGCUUGGCAUAUCUCUGUUUUCGGGAUUUCAGUUGCUAAGGGAAACAAAAAGGACGACCUCUAAUGAAUCGACAGUAUUUUGCUAUAACAAACUUGGAAGAGAGAUGAGUGUCUUACGUAGUUACAAAAAAAUGAUCAUGCAAUAGUUGGUAGAAAUUUACUCUGCUGACAUGCAUGAACAUUCUGAAAAAAAAACGGAAAACGUGCAUGAAUAUUUCCGGCCAGAAAGCAUUCACGAGGAGCUGAGAGACACUAUUUCUUAAAGCAGCAAAAUGAUUACAAGUUUGUUCUUUUAGGGAGUGGAAUGAAUAAAUUGUACAAAAAAUCCUAAACUUAUUGUCCGAUCACUAAUUUAAUUCUGAACUUUUUAAUUUGAUCAAUGUUGUCUAAAACUUUUGACAAUUUUUUGUAGUCCACCUAGUUAAAUUUAGGUCAAAAAUCAGUGACAGAGCAAUUUAGUAAACACUAACCGUUUUAAGUGAUACAACUGAUAGCUUAUAUAGAUGACUUAAAUGAGGUAGCGUCAUUUCACAAUUUUUUUUUUAAUAUUCUUUCUUUUCUUCUCUUUUAGUAAUUUUUUUCCUAUUCUUUCGUUCUCUAGUGUUCUUUUUCUUCCCUCUACUGGUGGCCGAUGCCUCAGCAAUGACCAGGGACCAUCAUAGGCUACAAGUGAGGGCAUUGAGCAAGACUUACAAGCCUUCUCCUAGAUUUGUGCAAGGGCCCUAUAGGCCCUCACUGGCCAUAGGCAAUUGGGGACUUGCAAGCCCUUGCCUAGAUCUACCCUCGCAUGGGGUCAAUGUUUACCAUCACCAAGGCCUCAAUGUCUUGCUCAAGAAAGAAAAUGAACAGCAGAGAAGGAGAUGAUAGGAAAAGAAAGAAAAAAGAAAAAAAGAGGAAAGGAAAAAAGGGAAAAAAUCUGAAAUAAUAACAAAAAAUUGCAAAAUGACGUUUCAUUUAAGAUCAUCCAUGUCAAUUGCGAAUCAUGCAACGUGGCCUACCUUGUUGGAUGCAGUAGAUUUAGGAUAUUUUGAAUAUUUUUCUCUUGUUAAAUAUGCCUGAUUUAUUUGAUAUCCUAAAAUUUGUCAACUUUGUGAAAUCAAGUUCUAAAAUUUGUUGGCAUUUUUUUCAUAUUGGAUGAAGUUAAUGAAAUGACUUGAUUACAACUACUUGAUAAGUUUUAUAACUUGAUUGUAAUUUUUGAAAAUUGUAGGACUCAGUUGCAUCUCUGUAAUAAGUUUUAAAACUUGAUUACACUAUAUGUAAUAAAUUUUAAGAUUUUCAGUAUAUUUAUCUCUAAAAUAAAUAAAUAAAUAGGGCCUACCCCCUUUACAUGAACUCUUUAAUUUAAACGCACCAUGGAAUUUCCUGUCCUUUUACACUGUUUCAUUAACUAAGAAAUUUUUUUUUUUUUGGGGUUAAAACCAAGAUUUAAUUCUUUCUUUUUUUUUUCUUUUGGACGAGCCAAGAUUUAGUUCAAAGAUAGAUAUUUCCAGGAGAAAAAAUUUCAGCAAACUAUGCAAGGAUUUGCAAAAGAUCGCAACAAUAUUACCGGAAGCAUAUAAUUAUUUAUCACUGACAAAUGAUAUAGUAAAAAUUCUUUUAGUAGUUUACCUUAAGUUUAGCAAGAUCUGCUUAUUCGGCAGCCUUGAGUUUCUUCGAUUCCUUCUCUCUUGCCUUCAAACAGAUAUAGAAAUGCAAUGCAGAAUAUCAAGACAAAUUGCCAUUGACAAAGCUGUAAAAGCCUACUCAAUCGAGCAAAACUGGGACAGUUUUUCCAGUGAUCUUGACCACCUCCGCAGCAUGCCGUGGAAAUAGAUAGGAACACAUGCAGAGGGACAAGCUGAUUAUUACUUGCUUUUAGUCAAGCAUUCGAAACUGUAAGAUUCAUGCACUAUAAGAUAGCCAGACAAGCGAAAAAAUGAUGGGCAUUUCAGUUGAGGUGUCAAGAGCAAUUAGAUUGAAUUCAAACCAAAUAAAGCUUGACGCAGAAAAGAGAAAUGUUGUGCAUUGAGCGAAUAUAUGACAAAAUAAGUGCAAAGAGAGUCAUGGAUGUUCUAGCGCUUUGGCCAAUUGAGUUCUUAAAAUUUUACUUUGCUUAAUUGAAUCCUCAGCAUUUUCAAUUUCAGUCAAUUGAGUCCCUCAACCUUGAUCCUCGGAAAUAGUCACAUGGCUAUGAUUUUCCAAGUUGAUAAGAAGAUGCUCGAGAAGACAAGCGGGUAGGAGGUGAAAUGGGACCUAAGUGUAAGUUUUACUAUUUCAAUAACUACAACUGAUCUGACAGAAGAUUGAACUUUCAUGGAUCUGGCACUUCGUUUGAAGCUAUACAAACAGAAAUCAGCGGGCUCAAGAACCCAAUCUUUUAGAUAGUUUCUGAAUUAUCACACAGAAAAGCACUAGGAUAUCUUUACGCAUUCACUUAUUUCCUCUGUAAACUCACAGUUAUUAAAGUAUAUUAGGCAUCAUUUAUUUGUAGUACAUUAGGUACAGAUGUCCUCUCUUUGAGAUUCCCUCUUUUCCUCUUCUUACGAUCAGCUUUGCCAGAAGAUGUUUCCAACUUCCGACAUUGAUGAUGUCAUUUCAAGGAAUUCUCAAUGUUGAUCACAAAUCAGUACUUAACAUCUCUCUUGAUGAGCCCCUCAAGGGCUUCAUAGGCAUAAUCGAUUGGUAUCACUUCGAUUUCUUGGUAUAUGUGCUGUGCCGCACAGAGGUCUACCAUUUCUUGGAUAUACUUCAUUCCUCCAAUAGCGCUACCCAAAACUGUUUUCAAAACUGCAAAAAGUUCACUGUGAGCAACUUAGUUGGUUCGCCUAUCAUGUAUCAAUAUUUCAUUCAGUAAUGAGCUUUGAGAACAAAAACAUACCAAGGUUAAGGCUUGCCGCACUGAAUGUAAUUUCGCUUUGGGACGCAACCAAUGCUAGAACCCAUCUUCAAAAGAGACAUGUAAGGAUCAAAUAGGUGAUUAGCAGAUGCCGUGUCAAUUAUAAAGUCCAUGGACUUAGCCAUGGCCUGCAUGUAUUGGAAUCAUCAGAUCACGGCAGCACUUGACCUCCAUGGAUCCAAAGUAUUGAUAAUUCCAAAUCUUCCCAUUUGCCUUCAUCUGAAAUGGUCAGCACCAAGCAAGCUCAGUGCUUCCUCCUUUUUAGAAAUGCUUGUACUAAACACAGCGACUUUCAGUCUAAAAGCCUUCCCAAGUUUAAUUGCCACGUGACCGAGCCCACCGAGUCCAAUUACGCCGAGAGACUUACCCGGUUGGUUCAUCUUGUGACGCACCAUUUGAGUGUAUACUGUGAUUCCAGCACAGGGCAAUGGUGCUGCUAAAGCCAAUGGGUAGUUUUCUGGAAUCCUGAAGCAGUACCUGUCAAUGAAGCACCACAAUUAAGUUUCCAAAUCACACCAAAGGAGUAAGGGAUUUCCCAAUAGAAUCAGCAUCCCAUCUUUUUUGUAUAACAGGAUUCAAAUCACAUUUUACUUGCUUAGAGCACAAUUCAGCAUCAUGUGGUUUCUGUGAUUCUUUUUCUGACCACAAAUUGCUUAAGACGAAAACUUCUUGUUGUAGCGACGAAAGUAAAGCCACUGCAACAUAUAGGAGGCCAUACUCGAUCAAAAUUGAGAAAAGAGGCUUGCUCUUAACAGAGGACACUGGAAGCAUAUUGCAUGUGCAUGACAGAUCAUGUAAUUUCUCUAUUCCCCUCAAUCAUGUCUCUAAGGGACACGAUAUUCCCGCGACUGUUGGAUACAAGAAUUCGUGAAAGCACGUAAAUUUUAUUACCCAUUUGAUCUAACACUUACUAUCUAACUCUUGGAAACAAUCUACAAAAAAGGGAGGAAGAGGAGACAGAAGGCGAGAAUUGAGCAAUUUCCAUCUCUCUCUCUUUUAAUUAAGGGUUAAUAUCCUAAAAAAUCCCAAACCGGUACACGUGACAAAUUUACCCCGAUGGACUAUAAAAAAAACCCUAAACUUAUAUAUUUAUGACAAAUUUACCCCAAACUAAUUUAUUCGACGGCAAAAAACCCGAAAAUGGUAAAUUUGUGACAAAUAUACCAUCUGCUAAACUGAAUUAAUAUCACAAAAAAAUCACAAAAAUUGUAAACUGUGACAAACGGGGCGUAAAAUUUCAAAUUGGUAUACUAGUCAACUGUCACGUGUCAUUUAACUUAAUAAUUUGACAGUAAAAUUUAACGAAAACUAACAGAGGGUAAAUUUGUCACAAGUAUAACAGUUUAGGGUAAAUUUGUCAAAUGUAUACCAGUUAGGAGUUUUUGGUGGUUAAAAAAAUAGUUUGGAGUAAAUUUGUCACAUGUGUAUCAAUUUUGGGUUUUUUAGGAUAUUAACCAUUUAAUUAAUUUAGUUUUCAAUUUUAUUUUAUUAAUUUUUCAUGAAAAAAUCAUAUAUUAGAUUUAUUGGCUCACAUGUCAUUGUCACUUGAUGUGUAUGAUAUAUAGAAUAGUCCAAGAAAUUUGACUUUAGAUACUUGGGAACCCGUGAAUGGUCAUACAUUGUCGGUUACACAUUCAACAUGAUGUAUUAGCUAAUCAUAGUCCUCUAACGGUUUAUAUUUGCUUAAUAUAUUUCAAGAAUAUUCAUUUGUUAGACUUGUCUGCUCACACGCCACUGUCACUUGAUGUAUAUGAUAUGCAGAAUAGUCUAAGAGCUUUGACUUUAGAUACUUGGGAGUGUCUAUGCUUGUUUUAUGUCUGUUAUGCUUGCAAUGCUUCUUGUUUUGAGUGGACAGUACAAAUAUUUAAGUCCGUGUCAAUUUGAACAAUUUUCUUUAUUAUAGAGCAACAAUCUUUAAUCUAUUGUGUUCUUGACCACAAAAAACCAAAUAACAAAUAAGUAUAAACUAUUGUAGGGUCCAACGACAAUCUUUAAUCUAUUGUGUUCUUGACCACAAAAAAUCAAAUAAUAAAUAAGUAUACACUAUUAUAAGGCCCACUCCUUUAAAAAUUUGUUGCUCACAACAACUUAUUUAUUCUCAUAAUAACCCAAAGUUAUGCUAGCAAAGCUCUUUUUAGUAAGUGUAUUGAAAGUUUUAAAAACUUGUCACUAAAGUGCAUUGAGUCCUAAAAUUUUCAAAAAAAUGCAAUUUAAUCUUAAAAUUUGUCAUGAAAUGCAACUGAGUCUUAAAAUUUUCAAAAAGUACAAUCAAUUAUAAAGAUUUAUCAAAAUUGGUCCAAUUUAAGUCAUUCCAUUGAUUGUAAUUUUUGAAAGUUUUAGAGCUCAACUAUGCUUUCCUAACAAAUUUUAGGACUUAAUUAUACUUUUUGAAAAUUUUAGAACUUAACUGUAAUUUAUGAUAAGUUUUAGGAUUUUUAGUAUACUUAUCUUUUUUUUUUUUUUCACCUCAUUAAUCUUUUUAGCAACAAUGAGCUUGACAUGUCUCUGUUUUCAAGAUUUCAGUGGCUAGGGAAAACAAAAGGGAUGUCCUCUAAUGAAUCAACAAUCUUCCUGCCAUGACAAUGCCGGAAGAGAGAUGAGUGUCCUACAUAUUUAUCAAAAAUGUUCAUGUUAUAAUUGGUAGGCAUUCACUCUGCCAACGUGCAUGAACAUUUCCGGAGAUGAAACAUUCGUGAGGAGCCAGUAAAGACAUCCUGCUAUUUAAACCGGCAAAGGGAUAUCAAGCUUGCUCUAUUGGCAAGUAUAUUGUCGUCAGAUCAGCCUAAUUAAUCCGAUAUUUUUUCAUACAAAAAAUCGUCAUCGAGGCCAACUUAAUCCAAAAUGCCAAUGGACAGGCUUUGGUAAGCUAGUGGAUAGGUAUGCCGCUUUAUCUUAUGUCGUGCUAUCUCACGAGAGAUGGUGCUGCGUUCUCUUUAGAAUGCACAUGACUUGGGAUAGGAAAACCUUAGGAUCCGACUAGGAGGAAGGAAAAAAGCAAUCUAUUGUCGGGCCAAUACAAGAUCAUUUCAUGUCAAACUCCGCAGUCUUGAGGCCAUGGAAUCUACGACAAACUUGCUCAUUCACAAGGACUGAGCAAAUAAAUGAUAAAAUAAGAGCAAUAGUCGUCAUUGAUCGUCUACCCUUUGAUUGAUUGGAUUCUAAAUAUUUUAUUUUCAAUUGGGGUCUAAAUAUUUUAUUUGAUUCAAUUGACUUCUAAACAUUUCCAAUUUUAGUCAAUCAAGUCCCUCGAAUAUUAACCGCGGAAAGAGGCACAUGGCUGUGAUUUUACAAGUGGCUAAGGAGAUGCUUGAGGAGAAAACCUGUUAGGAGAGGCGAAACCAUUCCAGCAGAACUCUCAAGAAGCCAAUUUUUCAGACAGUUUCUCAAUCAUCACAUAGAAAAGUACCAGGAUUUCAUUACCCAUUUCACUUAUUUCUGCUAUAAAACUCACGAGUAUCGAAGUAUAUCAGGCAUAGUUUAUUUGUACUCCAGCAGAACAACUAAAAAGGCACAGAUAAUGCUCUCCUCUAGCUGAAACUCCCACUUUUCCUCUCUGUGUGAUCAGCUUUGCCAGCAACAAUUUCCAACUACCCAAAUUGAUGUUGAAAUUUAAUCAAAUAGACUCAGAGAAGAAAACCCGCAAGAGAAUUGUUGCUGUAACUUUCGUUAAGAAAACCCACACGAGAAUUGUUGCUGUAACUUUCGUUAUUUUAUUCAUCAGAACAUAAGCCUAUUAAAUAGGCAGAACAUCCAAACCACUUAGCAAGAAAAUAGCUAUAGAACAACAACAACAAAGACCCACUAACAUACCCCACUAACCAGAACAUAUGCAGAAACUAACUCCUAAAAACAAGCCACUUCCUAUUGACUAGGACUCCACUAUUACAUUAUUGAAGACACAUAAAAACAAAGUUAACUACUUCAACAAUUGAUGGUGUCACUUCAAGGAGUUCUCAAUGUCGAUCACGAAUCGAUACUUAACAUCUCUCUUGAUGAGCCUCUCCAGAGCUUCGUUGGCAUAAUCGAUCGGUAUCACUUCGAUGUUUGGGUAUAUCUUCUGUGCUGCACACAGGUCUAUCAUUUCUUGGGUAUCCUUUGUUCCUCCCGUUACGCUACCUGAAACAGUUCUCAUAUCUGCCAAAAGUUCACCGCAAGCAACUUAGUUCACCUAUCAGGUAUAAAAUUUCAUUUAGUAAUCAGAUUUGAGAACAAAAACAUACUGAGGUUAAGGCUGGCUGGACUGAAUUUAACUUCGCUCAGGAAGCCGACCAAUGCUAGAAUGCCACCCGUCUUCAAAAGAGACAUGUAAGGAUCAAAUGGGUGAUCACCGGCUGCCGUGUCGAUUAUAAAGUCCAGGGACUUAGCAAUGGCCUGCAUGCAUUGGAUUUAUCAGAUCACAACAGAAUUUGACCACCAUGGAUCUCAAUGUGGAUAAUUCUAGUUUUUCCUCUUUUUACCUUCAUCUGCUCUAGGUCAGAUGAGAUAACGAAAUGGUCAGCCCCAAGCAGGCUCAGUGCUUCCUCCUUUUUAGAAAUGCUUGUACUGAACACUGUGACUUUCAGUCCAAAAGCCUUCCCAAACUUAACUGCCAUAUGACCGAGCCCGCCAAGUCCAAUUACACCUAGAGACUUACCAGGUUGGUUCAUCUUGUGACGUAUCAUUGGAGUGUACACCGUGAUUCCAGCACAGAGCAAUGGCGCUGCUAGAUCCAUCGGGUAGUUUUCUGGAAUCCUGAAGCAAUACCUGUCAAUGAAGCACCACAAUUAAGUUUCCAAAUAACACCAAGAGAGGAAGUGAUUUCCCAAUAGAAUCAGCAUCUUGUCUUUGUUGUCUAAAAGGAAUCAAAUCACAGAGCCAGAAAUCCUAUCUUCUGCAUGCUUGGGAAUUUUACUUGCUUAGACCACAAUUCAGCAUCAUGUUGUUUCUGUGAUCCUUGUUCUGACCACAAAUUGCUCUAGACAAACAUUUCUUGCUGUAGCAAUGUAAAUAAAGCAAUUGCAGAAUACAGGAGGCCACACUCGAUUAAAAUUAAGAAAAGACACUUGCUCUAAGAAAGGAAACUGGUGGCAUAUCACAUAUGCUUGACUGAACACGUAAUUUCUCUAUUUCCUUCAAUCAAUUUCUCCAAGGGACACAAGAUUCCUGUGGCUCUAUCAGAUACAAGAAUUAGUGAAAGCACAUACAUUUAGCUACCCAUUUGAUCUGAUACUUAUGAUCUAACUCUAACAAUCUAAGGACAGCUUAUUCCAUUCCUGACAAUGGUUAUUGAAAAGAAAGAAUUUCUUUUUGCAUUUAAUAAAGCCAAUUCUCCAUUGAAUGGUUUGAAUGGUAAUUAGAUACAAAGGACUUAAAGACUCUCCAGAGCCGUUAUAGAAAGUAUCUUUAUCCCUUUCCACAAGAUGCAAUUAAUACCUAAAAGCCAUUCCUCACAGUCCUAUGCAUUAUGCCACUUCUGGUCACAAUCAGAAAUUCAGAAUACAAAGAAAAUUAGCAGAGAAGAAGACAUGACAUGAAAUCUUUUUUUGGCCACCAUGAUUUGGAAUUCUGUCACAGUGCAAAAUGCUGCCUAAUAACGCUGUGUCAAUAAGCAAUUACCUUUCAUGGAUGACAAUGUGACUAGAAUAUCCUCCCUUUGUGACUGUACCGUCCGCAUCGAUUCCAUCAAAAGUCAAAACCGCCUUUUCACAUUGGGUUUCUAGCCUGUCAUUGCAAUACUCACACUCUCUGCAUGAAUUGACAUAAGUUCCCACCCCCACAUGAUCGCCAACUUUGAAGCGUUGGACACUGGAGCCAACCUGUUUCACAAUUCCAACUAUCUCGUGCCUGAAUCAAUCAAAAAAAUCAUUUGCAAAUUUUGUUCAGAGAAUUAUGAGGAUGGUGCUAAGAAAAAAAGAUUAACAUUUGAAUCACGCUGCAUCCUACCCUGGCACCAGAGGAUACUUGGAGUGUCCUUGCACAUUCCUAGUCCAAGCCACAUCUGCAUAGCACACUCCACAGUGCGUGAUCUUAAUCGAGACGUCUUCGCUUCCCACGGCCCUAAAGAGAUGAUUCCCAAACAGGUGAGCAUAUAAUCCAGUGACUAAUCAGACUAGGGUACCUUUUUUUUUCCAUUUUCAAGAUCAACAAACUAAGCUUGACCUACGAUUAUCGAGAAAACAAGAAACCAGAAAUGAGAAAAGGAAAAAUUCCAUGACUGCAAGCAUAUUUGUCCAUACGCUAGAUACAACCUCAAAUGCUCAGAAAGGCAGCCAGUACAGGAUCCUCAUGUCUGCCAUGAAAUUCUGAGUAACCCAUUACCAACAAUUCUCGACCCAGAAUUCAGCGCAUACACAACAAAAGAAAGAACGAAAAAAUGAAAUGGUCUGGACCGAAAACUGUCUCGCGUGAACACUGUACUGAGACUCUCGCAUGAACACUUUCGGUAGAAAUCGAAAAAGAAAAAAAAAUGGCAAUACCUGCGGGUGAAUUUGUAGGGGGAGAGGAACCCAGAAGGGUCCCGGGCAGCCCAACCGAGGCAAUCCUCCUUCCCACCCUCCGAGCUCAUCUUCUGUACCUACACACCCAGCGAAGCAAUCACACAAAUGGGUACGGUUAGAUUCAUCCAAAGGAGAAGAAGAAAGGGUGAGAACUCGAACGAGAAAGUGCCCAAGAUCAGAGACUCAACGGGUCAUCACUCGGCGAGGACUCGAGUCACAACGAGCUCGCCAUCACUCACCAACUCACUCACUCACCCACACCCACCUACCCAAACACAACCCCACGGGCCACAGCAACUCAGAGAGAGAGAGAGAGAGAGAGAGAGAUGACUACGGAGAUGGAGAUGAAGAGAGGUUACGCUGUGGAGUAUGCAGGAGCGCGAAGAGGGUGACGAGCCGAGCACAGUCGAGGACGGGAGGUUCAACGAAGACUUUUUUGCCCCCUCCUACUUCGCAGGAAAGCUGCGAGUAAUCCGAUGGAUUUUAUAGCGUUGGCCCGAGAUAGUUACGAAAAUAUUGGAAGGAAAAAUUAUCCGAAACUUUAACUCAACAUGUACCGUGAUCUAUAAGGAAAAAUAUAGUAUAUAGAAAUGAAAGAUGAGUAGAAAAAGAAAUGGACGAUUGCUGUCAAAUUAAAACUAUUCCCAAGUCAACUUGUCGGUCCCUUUCCUUCCAUUAUAAUCCUUUUUUAUAAUGUAACUGAAGAUUACUGGCUUUGUCACAACCAACGUAAACCCUCCAAAAGGUAAAAGAACUUAUGCAAAAGUAUAAAAAUGAAAGAUGUGUUGAAAAAAUGAGGACAAUAACCAAACGCGUGCAACUCAAUUGCACUUUUCGAUAAGGAUAAACUGUACCUCUCCUCAUCAUUGAAAGAGAUGGGAUUAAAUGCCUCUCCUCAUCAUUGAAAGAGAUGGGAUUAAAUGCAGACGUGAUUGACAUAGAGAUUAUCACAAGAAAUUAAAUAAAAAUAAGUCUUUCUUGGUAACGAGAUGUUUGUUCUCGUGACCGUGUAGGUCUUUCUAGGUUCUCUGACGCGUGCCAUGAGGUCAUGGCAUGUUAUGCAACCAAAUAUAUCCAUUCUAUAUUUCUAUGGUAACUAUCCAUCGUUACCUCCUGUGAACCUAAGAAGAACAAAACCAAUCCAUAAAGCUGUGGAGGAUCAAGAACAACCUGCCAUAAGUUAUUGAUGAACUCAGUUAAUUGUUCGAAGCCUUAGAAGCGAAUCAUUAAAACUUUAAGCAACUAAAAUGUCAGAUGCCAAACAGAAGGAAAAUCUACAGAGCCAACAUCUGGAUCGGAUCAAUGAUGGCAUAUCAACAACUAAGGGAAAAAUCUGCUACUAAAUAUUUAUCUGAAACUAGAGGAUGACGUUGCACUUGCAUAACUCCGUUAACGCAGAUCAAUGGUCAUGCUCUGUCUAGCUUUGUUAGAAGUUUGAAAACUCUACACGGACAGGCACUAUUUGCAAGAAGACGUGUUCCCUAUGCUCAUCUUUGUACUGAGCUGGAAAUGCUUUUAGCAGAUAGCUGUGCCUCCAGAAACAAAUCGCAUGAAGUGGCCCACAAUUCUCUGGCAAGUCCGGUGUCGUACGAAACUGAAGAAGAGUUGAUAGUCCGGCCCCUCCCACCAAAGAAAUACACACCAGAAAUUUCCUAUUUUUGCAAGACAGCGGCUAUUAGUAAGCACUGUUCCAACAUAUAAUAGCAGCCACAUAAGAUUGAUACCAUAGAUUAUCAGCAGAGAAGGGAAAAUCAAUUCUGGAAACAUACUGUCAUACCGUAGAAUCAACAUUAAUGGAUUUUACGUCCAAUGUUAGUGUGACCUCAGUUGAGGAUAAAACGAGAGAGACUCAUUCAAGAUGGUUCAGAUAAGUGAAGCACCAGUACAGGAAUGCUUUACACCAGCCUAUUUAGUGGGAAAAGAUCACUAUCACCCAUAAAUGCAGCUGUGGUUGCCUAUUGAGAUGAAACCCAGGUGAUUUCAUUGCAGUCCCAUCUAGCAUAUAGCAGAAAUUAAAGAUAAUGAUUGCAGUCAGAAAAACUCACAGGAGGGGCAAGGGCUGCAUCCAGAACUGAGUUGACCGCACCUUCAGGUGAAUCCAAAAGACCCAUUGCAGUUAAAAAUGCAAAAGCUGUGUAGGACAGGUAAGGGGGAACUUCUCGCAUGAUACUGGUUUUCACUACUCCAGGAUCCACAGCACUGGAAAUAAAAAAGAAACAGGAUAACAUCUCAAUUGUGCUGCCAGCAUGUAUUCAUACACAAAACUUUAGAGAAAGACAAUCUACAAAGCCUAAGUACAUUUUCUUGUUUAUAAUCAACUAGUAUAGUAUCUCUGAUAACAAAAACCAGGUUUUCAACUAAAAAGGGAUAGCUCAUAGAUUUGUGGAAAGUGGUAAGUGGAAAGUUCAAAUUCAACUACCAUACAAACUUAAGGGUGAGAUUACACUGUCCUACAAGAAUGCUUAAAUCCAGAGUGGCAGGAUUGUUGAUACAUACAGAAUGGAAACAUGACAGGAGCUUUCCAAGCGAAGGCGUCGAUGAAGUUCAUAUGAGAACAGCAGAAGGCAUACUGUAAACAAACAGGAAACUCUUACUAAAGUUUGUGAGAAGAUGUGACAUUUGCUUCUCAAAUAUUGCUGUAUCUUUUAUUCUAUCCUUUCCUUUUUGGUGCUAGGCUUCUCGAAUAAAACAUGAAACUUACAUUUUGAAUAACCAUAGAUCUGUGCACAUGGAUACUGUUUCAUCCUGAAGGAACUCUUCCCAAUAACACUUUCCUUGUCAAAUGUCGCACCACAUACUGAAGAAGAGGAGAACCGAGGAAAAGGAGAUUUUAAAUAAAUAAAUAAAAACUAUGACUCUAAACCUAGUAUAACAAUUGCACUAAAACAGAAACUGCACAGAGAAGUUGGACAGCAAGAAACUACAAGCAAACAAUACCAACUAUUUGACAUCAUAAAAGAGUUCUGUAACUUAGACAUUGAGUACAGCUAUAUUGCAUGUUCUAGUUUUAGCUUGCUAUCUCAGGCACUGUUAAAGUCCUAGAUGGGCACCAUAUUUAGUUCACUAAUUGAAUGAAAAAAUGACAUGCCAUAAGGGUCAGCAAGCCCGGGUUUCACAGAGGAACCUCCUUGCAGGCUGGCCACCGGCUGCAAUCAGUGUUCCACAGAUAAAUGGAAGUGUUUCUGACCACAAAGUGAAAAUAUCUUACCGCUUCGAUGUGUAAAGGACGUGACAUUGACUAUCCGGGAUGGAACAGGGCUGUUUCUGAGAAGUGGUAAUAAAUGCUUUGUCAAAAAGAAUGGUCCCAUGUAGUUCGUUGCCAUCAUCCUGGUGCAUAAAGAGGUGGAGAGAAGAAUCAACAGGAGAUCAGGCAACAAUGCAUUAUGAAAGACUGCAAUUAAUAAAUUCCAUUCCAAAAAGAGAAAAGCAAAACAGUGGGAGAUGCCACUUGCUACCGUGGCAACAAAUCUCCACAAGUAAACUACAAGUUGACAAGGUAUAUAGGAAAAUCAAAAUCACUAGAACAUUAGACUUUCAAUUGGGAAAGUGACGACACUAUUAUCGUUACUUAUUUAGAAAUUAGAACAUAUGCAUCUCAUUAGUUAAAUCUAAAACAACAGAAUAUAUAUUCUCCACUGUGACUGCUGUAGUGUUUAGAUUGCCAAAUAUUUGGAUCUUUGGAAAGAAUAUUGCAAAAAAAUUCCCAUGGCAAUAAGAUAAUUACUCAUCGAAGCCUUCAGCUGUAAUUCUGUAGGAUGUUGCCAACAUUCCAGCAUUAUUUAUCAGAAGCUGGACUGAGGCAUGCAUAUUUGAUUCCAACAGCCAUUGCUCAAGGGAGCAUCUGAAGUGUAAGAUUGACUCGAUAGAUGAUAUAUCAGCUUGAAAAGCUUUAAGAUGGGCAUCCUUAUUGUGUUUACAAAUCUCUGCCACUCUCUGUGACCCAAAAAAAAAAAAAGAAUCAUUGAGAGCAUCAUGUAGAGCAAAGAAGCUAAAACGGAUGCCGCACAACAAGUACCUCUGACAACCUGUGAGCAGACCGUCCAACUGCAGAGAAAGCAUAAAUUUCAGUUAAAUAAUUGUACCUGCAUGGAUCAAAACUCAUUCUUCUUGUAACAAAGAAAAGAUGCAUUUUGCAUUAACUCUAAGGACAACAAACAGUCAUUCGUACAUUAUUUGUCACAUUAAGCAAUUGACAAGCUUUUCUCUUUGCUUGAAUCACCAAGUAAAGACCAGAGAACAUUCAUAUAUCUACCCAUAACUCUUCCUAUGAGAGUGUUCAUCACAGACUGGUGGCAUUUAUGUAGACAGCCUAUUUUUUUUUCCUCCUAAUGUAGCUAUCAUCAGGAUGAUCCAGCACAAGCAAUCACAGAAAAUCCAGGCAUGGGGUUGAACUAAGUGUUGCUACAUCCAUAUCAAAGGAAUGAGGAGGAUAAACCACAGACUGCGACAUUACCAAGGACAACAACGAAACCUUCUUUUGAAAGAGCAUAAGCAGCCGCUGCACCCAAACCAGAUGUAGCCUGCAGGCAAAAGGCAGAGAAAGCUCUCAGUAGGAUAAUCUAAUUGAGGACAUUUGCUACUAGCAAAAGAAAUCCGUCUUACGCCGGUGAUAAUGCAGAGAGGUCUCAGAGGAACUUCUAUGUUGGCAUUUCGAGGGUAUGAAACAAUUCGACCAAAAAGACCACGGCUGAAGAAUUGCCAGUAUGAGGCCAGCAAAGAGAACGUCCAAAGUACUGCCAUUAUCCAGAAGUCUACUGUACAAAUGAAACAAAAAGCCUCGACCAACUCCUUUGACAUUAUUCUCAUCUUUGCCACCAUGGACUUCUUACCUGUGUUGGCAAAGUGAAAACAACAAAACAAAUUCAGGAUACUAAUAAAUCCAACAGAAAAGUAUAUGCGCACGGUAAAGUCCUAAAGUUUAUUGGAUUAGGUAGUGGAACUCGAAUUUAAAUCAAGUGAAUGUCACAAUUAAGUACUGGAGAGACCCAAUCUACGGAGAAAACACGCACCCUUACAUGACCAGUGCAGCAAAAUGAGUGCCUUGUUAUUUGACAGUCAGAGUUGAGACCUCAGUGUUCAGUCUACAGGAAAAGUUUUAGCAACCUCGAGAGAGGUAAGAACUAGGCAGAUCUCACUAUGCAACCAUAAAUCAACUAACUUCAGGUGUACUUUCAAACAAAUUCUUUGACCAAGCAUCUGAGGGAAAUCAACAAUACAGAGUUCAACAUUCUAGUUCGUAAAUACUUUGGCCUUUUCAUUGUCAUGUAUGAAUGACGGUUUCCCUAUUGUUUAGAAUGUACAGCUUUGAAGUGUCUUAAUGCCACCUUGUCUUCCCACCACAGCAAACACAGACCCAGGUAAAGGAAUCAAAUGUUAAAUCCAGUCUUAAUAAAUUUACACAUCACAACACACAACCCAGUGAGCUUACUUCAUCGGUUAGAGUCACCAUGCUCACCCAGAGUAACAAGCACACCAUCAAAAGUAAGAUUAACAGAGAUAGCAAAUGAUAUAGCUUGUUUCAAAAUGAAAUUCUGUUCAUUUCCAAGCUCCAGACUUUCCACAUCAAAGCUUGACGUCUACUCACCCUAAACAGACGCAGCUAUAAAAUUAUCAUCUACCAGCAGAACUCGUGAAAUUCCACACAAUUCAAACGGGCCUACACGCACGUCACCGACCUAGACACGUUCCCUAUUAAACAUUAAACAAUCACCACCCCAAAUCAUCUCCAAGCUCAACGUCCUCACCAUGCAACAGCUCCAGAGCUCCAAAAAGACCCAACAAGUUUUUCGCCAACCUUCACGUCAACUCAAGCUCCCCCGCUCACUUCCUCCCUGACAAUACACACCCCCCACGAAGCGCGCUCUAAGAAGCAUUACGUCAAACACAUUGGGGACAUCGAAACUCCGGGCAGAGUUCUCCCACGAACCCAACGCAAAUGGGCAUCCACGAAAACAGGAACUUGCAGAGAGGCGAACGCGGGCGCUCGUGCAGAUCACUGUAAAGCUAUUGCAACGAAACGUGAAGGGUUGCGCCGGAAACGAAAGGGCGACUCACGGGGAACGUGAAAGGGUCGAAGGAACGAAGGAAGGCGAGAGCAGAGACGGGUCGCCUCGACUCGACACGGUUCUCGUCGAAACCAGGAGAGUCUUGAGAUUGACUGGAGGAAAAAUCCGAGCUUUACAAAAAGUUAGAUGCAGGAUGAGACGAACAUCCGGUUCUUCAACCCGAGUAAAAGCGUUGACACUAAGGGCAAACUUUUCCUUGCAUAUUAGGGAGAAUUAAGUGGGAAAUUUUCGUUUAUCGAAUUCGCCAACAUGUUUUCCAAAAAAAAAAAAAAGGAAAAAAAGAAAUCACUAACGUAAUUUCAUUCACUAUCACCCCUUUUGAAAAAUCAAAUCCAUGCAUGGGACCGAUUAAAUUUCAUUCGUCAAUCAGUACUCUUUUGUAUGAGAACUUGAAGAAAGAAUGACUCGCAAAAUACAUAAAAAAAAAUGGAACAUCACAAGAUAUGCAAAAAUUACUGUAAAAGAAUCAUAGAUUACAUGUUCUAACAAAAAGGAAUCAUUUAUUGCAUUUGUGUGAUGUAAACUAUACUGGAAUUAUUUCUUGUAAAUCUUGAGAGUGGUAGUAAUUGUGUCAACAUUUGGAAUCCUAUUAGGGAUAAAUAUAUUGAAAAUAUUAAAAUUUGUCACGAAGUUACAAUUUAACCCUAAAAUUUGACCAAAAAAAAAAUUCCAAUCAAAUUCUAAAAUUUGUUACAAAGUGUAAUUGAAUUUUUAAAACUUUUAAAAAGUACAUUCAAGUUCUAAAUUUUAUUAACAUUUUUCGUUUGUCAAAUUUGAUGGAGUUUAGGAAAAUACUUGAUUAUAUUAACUUGUCAAGUUGGCUUGGGCCAAGUUUGGCAUACCUAUAGUCCGUCGGAUCCAUGUUAAGGUCUACUAGCUUUGACCCUCCCUAGCUUUUGGGCUGGAUUGGGUCGCUGCGCCCAGCCCUUGCAGGAUCUCUCUCUCUCUCUCUCUCAACUUUCCCUAUGUGUUUUUUGGUUACUUUAACAUUUUUAUUUGUCUUUUGAAUUAAUGAUCUCACGUGGCAUGGUUCAAAUUACUGGGGUGUCAGAACCAAAACCAAAACUAAAAUCUAACCGAAAUUUCAUGCAUUUUUUAUUUGAUUUGGUUUUGGUUAGGAUAAUAGAAAGAUAACGGUUAUUUGUUUUCGAUUUGGUGAAUCGAACUGAAAUCCUUAAUACAAAUAAAUGCACAACUUAAAAUCCCUCCUUUUUCUCAUCUCUUAUUCUAUUUGAUUCCAAUGAGAAGGUAAAAAUCAAAAAACCAAAAACUGAAAACUGAAUUGAAAAUAAUCCAAUCGGAUUUUUAGUUCAGUUUGUAUUUGAUUCAGAUCGCAACUUGGUUUGCUUUAAUUACUUAUCUUAUCAGUUCGGUUUGGUUCGGACUUUAGGACAUUCGAACUAAAUCGAAACGUUGACGCCCCAUUAGCCACAUAGAUGAAGUCAUGUCUAUAAUUCAACAACGUUAAUUAUGAUGGUUGACGACAGAGUCAGCAAGAUGCAAAAGAUAUAGAAAUACAUCAAAAGAAGGAAAAAAUAGUUAGAGGACCCAAUCGCAGGAACAUCAGUACUAUAUCGAGAACAAAAAAUUGCUAUGAACUAAAUCAUACAUUAAAAGUAGGAAACAAGGAGAACUAACACGACCGUUAAUAGCAGCAUUGACAUCUAUGUCCAUGGAGAAUUUUUCUUACGCAACUACCACAGGUGGAUCCCAGCUAAUUUGCUGUCUAUCUAAUCCCGGGUGAAAACGGUCGGGCCUUGGUUCGGAGCCGUCGAGGACACACGACCAUCCUCAACGCUCCAAGCUCGUCCUCCUCCGGCGCAGUGGCUCGGCCUCAUAUCCUCUAAGCUUCACGGCUUUGUAAGUCACGGCGCCAGCUAUGGCUCCGAGCGGAGGAGCCACCAUGUACAUCCACAAUCCUUUGUAGUUCCCUGCGGCCACGGCCGGGCCGAGAGUCCUCACGGGGUUCAGGGAACCUCCGGUCGGCAUCCUGCAUUUCCCGGGAACAUUGUUAAGGAACAUUAUGAAAGCUAAAAUUCUGUAACAACGCGUCCAUACUUGCACGCCCGAAGGUGAGUAGUUUCAGUACAAUGCUUACCCUGUCACAAGAACGCCAAGCAGCACCGUUGCUCCGAUUGCAAUACCUGCCAAAUCUCCUACCUAUCAUCAGAAAAAAGGAACAAAUGUAAGUGAAAUGGAUACAUGCUGUAUACAGAUGCCACGAGUACAGAUAGAGGAAGAGUCGAUAUGCAGCAUGGCGACGUACUGCACGAGUGUCGGUCACCACCGCGACGAUCACGAACGCGAGAAUGAAAGUGGCGAGAAACUCGAGAGCAAACGCCUGUCCGAUGUCCACCGAAGGCACCGUGACGCCGCCGUUGGCAAAGGGAUGGAAAACGCCCUUGAGGACGUAGGAAGCACACAUCGAGCCCGCAACCUGCGCCGCGAUGUAGCCAGGCACCUGGAUCCAUGGAAAGUGCCAGAUCACCGCGAGGGCGACUGUCACCGACGGGUUCAGGUGGGCUCCUGAAAUGUGACCGAUCGAGAAAACUAUGAUCAUCACGGCGAGCCCAGCGCAUGCCGCGUUCCCAAGCAACGUCUCUGCUCCGUUGUACUUUUGGUUCACAAUGGGCCCGCCCACCGCGCAAAGUACUAAGAAGAAGGUUCCAACGAACUCUGCUCCGACCUGCAUCGUUCAUGUAAAUCUAAAUAAGAAAAUCUAUCCUAUCUUUCUUUCUUGGUUUCACUCGCUAUGAAAAGGCAUAAGAAUUAUCAGUUUAUGCUGCAACAGCUAGCGAGCCUGUCUAAUCUUUACUGAUCUUUGAGGUCGAUUGGGCUUUACCUUCCGCAACGAAUCAUACUUAUCCGGCUGGAGACGCCGAACACCUUCCGUUGCACCGUCACUCGGCGCACACCACUUGCACUGUACCACGGACCCGUCCUCCGGCAACGAUGAGUCCACUUGCAACGUCACAGAUGCCGGUUGGCACAUCUUCUCUUGCCUGGACAGCUCGAUGGAGAUUAAGGGAGACCAGAGGUCGCGAAUAAAGGAUCAAGAGAUCGAUGAGAAGAGAGAUCAAGACGAGAGGGAGCCUUCAGUCUGUUGCCUCCGUCUAUGAUAGUUGAUUGCAGCGACCCCAAAAGCAUUUUAUAGGAGAGAAGACAACGGCUUUAACAUCGCCAACAUCAUCUUCUUGUUCACUAGUUCGGCUUGUUGACUCGCUCCAUAGGAUUCGGUCAUUCAUAGUAGUUCGGACUGUCUGCACCUUGACUAGAUCUAGGGUUACUCUAUACAAGUAAUGAUUUGACUCGGUUUGGCAUGCUCAGAAAAACUUGGAGGGCACGUUUCUAUUUCUGAAAUUUAGGUGUGCAAGUCUACAUUUGUGGACCAGAUAUUGAAUAUUUAAGACCGAUUCUAUAAAGAGAAGAUCCAUCAAAACGUAUUUUCUUUUUUUUGUUUGGGGGGGAAGAGUUAAGGGCUGCGUUUGUUUUGAUUUCUUUUUUCUGUUUUUAAACAAUUUUUUUUGUUUUUUUGUUCCUGGGAACAAAAAAGGAACAGAAACGCGUUUGUUUGCAUUUUUAUUCCAAAAUUAUUUUUUUGUUCCCAGAAACACAUCUGGAACAAAAACAAGAAACAAAAAAAAAAGUUGUUUCUUGUUUCUGGAACAAAAUUUAGGAACACUUUCUUCUUCUCUCUUUUUUCUUCUUCUUUUCUUCUUCUUUUUUCUUUCUUUUUUCUUUGGCCGGUCGCCGGCCUCAACAAUUGAACCUUCUCAAACUGUUUCUUCUUAAGAACCAAAAAUAUUUGUGCCAAAAUAACAGAUGCCAAGAAGAACAAAAGGCCUUGGACACGGAAUGGAUCUUGAAGUACUAUUUCCGCAUCUCCUUGACCAAAUCCACCCACAUUAGGAUUACUCGUUAAUGGCUGAUCAAGUUUGAUAGAUUCGCCUUCGGAAACAAGAAGUUCUGGCCCUGGUGGAAUAAUAUCAACCACUUGACGUUCAUCUGACGCAUCCGAUAUGGUUAUUUCGUACCCCCCUUUUUCUUUUCGUAUGAUUUUACUUACUACACCAGCCGCUGUAGCAUUAUAAACUGUAUUGUUACUCUUGCUCCCAUCGGGAUAAAUCUGACCCAUUCCUCUGUUCCCGCCUACAUAUAUGGGAUAUUUUAAGAAGUGAACAUCUUUAUUAGUAGCGGGGUCCGGGGAAAGAAUAGGAAAGGUGACUUCACUAUAUUUCUGACCAGAAACAGGACCUAUCACAAGAAUAUUUUUUUUAUUGGGGCGAUAGCUCUGAAAAGACAGAUUGCCUAUCUUUUCUUUCAUCUCGGGCGAAAUACGAUCGGGAGGUGCUAAUUCAAAUCCCUCAGGUAAAAUAAGAACAGCCCCCACAUUCAAACCUCCCAUUUUACCAUUAGCAAGAACUUGUUUAACUUGCAUAUCAUAAGGAAUUCGAACAACUGCUUCAAAUACAGUAUCAGGAAGUACCGCUUGCGGAACCUCAAUAUCCACGGGCUUAUUAGCUAAAUGGCAAUUGGCACAUACAAUACGUCCGGUCGCUUCUCGUGGAUUUUCAUAACCCUGUUGUGCAAAAAUGGGAUAUGCAUUUGAAAUGGAUGUCCGAGCUAUGAUAUAUAUCAUCAGCGAUACGGAAAUAGAUCGAAUAAUCUCUUUCUUUAUCCAAGAAAAGGUGUUUUUAGUUUGCAUGGUCCAAUCAUUGAUCCCGAAAAUUUCUACAAUAAAAUUAGGUAGGUCGCUUGUAUAGUUCCCUAUCCACAAUUCUGCUAUUUACUUUAUUGAAAUCAUUUUACUGGAAUAUAAGGAGUAGGAGAAAUCCCUGUAGGGUAGAAAGAGUAAGUACGUCUUAAAAUGGAAAUGCUUUGCUUAUGUACCUUAUGUUACAAAGUAACAAAUAUUCUAGUUAGAUCAGUCAUUCAUUGAAUGAUAAAUCACUACAAGUGAUGGAGAUAUACGAUUUAAAUAGCGGAAGAUCCAAUAUUUAAAAAUUGUAUCCAGAAUGACUGGAAAAGUAGAAACAAGACCCGAUAUAAUUUGAUCGUUGUGAGCAAAUCCAAAAUCUUUGUAGACAUAGCCAAUCAUUAGUUCCCAACCAUGGGGCGAAUGGAAUCCGAUACAUAAAUCAGUUAAUAAAAGAAUAGAAAAAGCUUUUAUUGUGUCACUUAAGUUAUAUAGGAAUUCUUGAACCCAAGAGUUAAGAAUAGCAAGUUCUUCAUUACCCAGAAUAGAAUAACCACUUAAAAUAAUGAAAGAGGUUAUAUUUGUCGAUAAGUGAAAAAUCAUAUGGAUAUGAUCCUCAUUGUGCAUCUUGAUCAAUUGGAUCGUUUCUUUGUGGAUUCCUAUACGAAGUGUUUGUAGAUGUGUUUCCGGGUAUUCUUUUAUCAUUUCGUCCAAGAGUAAGAGUUCUUCCAAUUCGAUGAAUUUUUCUAGAAUACUCUUUUCUUGAAUAUCAGUCAAAAAAGUUUCGGAUUGCCUAGUAUUCCACCAAUUAGUAAUCCAAAAUUCAAGACUUUUAUUAAAUGAGAGAGAGAUCCACCAGGGCAAAAAUACUAUAGAUGUAAGAUAUAGAAGAGGAAGAAAUGCUUUCUUUUUUACCAUUUUUUCAUCUUUGAAUUGUUAAUGAAUCCACCUCAUUUGUUGAAUCUAUGUGAUCUACUAUUUCUAUUAACCCUAAGUUCUAUUACAGGGCAUCGGGCCUCGGCCAUGGCCGGCGACCGGCAGUCGAGGGCCGGUGAGGCCGAGCGUCGCCGGCCCUUGGUGAGGCCGACCUCGCGCCGAGCUAGGCGAGCUCGGCCUCGCCGGGCCACUGCCAGGUCGGCAUCGCCUGGCAGUGGCCCGGCGACGCCGAGCCUCGCCAGCCACUGAUUGUCACUUGCUUUUAGUCAUGCAUUCAAAACUGUAAGAUUCAUGCACUAUAAGAUAACCAGACAAGCGAAAAAAUGAUGUGCAUUUCAGUUGAGGUGGCAAGACCAAUUAGAUUGAAUUCAAACCAAAUAAAGCUUGACGCAUAAAAGAGAAAUGUUGUGCAUUGAGCGAAUAUAUGACAAAAUAAGUGCAAAGAGAGUCAUUGAUGUUCUAGCACUUUGGCCAAUUGAGUUCUUAAAAUUUUACUUUGCUUAAUUGAAUCCUUAGCAUUUUCAAUUUUAAUCAAUUGAGUCCCUCAAGCUUGAUCCUCGGAAAUAGCCACAUGGCUAUGAUUUUCCAAGUUGAUAAGAAGAUGCUCGACAAUAAAACCAGGUGAGCCUCUCAAGGGCUUCAUUGGCAUAAUCAUCAGUAUCACUUCGAUUUUUGGGUAUACGUGCUACACCGCACAGAGGUCUAUCAUUUCUUGGAUAUACUUCAUACCUCCCGUAGUGCUACCCGAAACGGUUUUCAUACCUGCAAAAAGUUCAUUGUGAGCAACUUACUUUCUUCACCUAUCAGGUAUCAAUAUUUCAUUCAGUAAUGAGCUUUGAGAACAAAAACAUACCGAGGUUAAGGCUUGCUGCAUUGAAUUUAAUUUCGCUUUGGGACCCAACCGAUGCUAGAACGCCACCCGUCUUCAAAAGAGACAUGUAAGGAUCAAAUGGGUGAUCAGCAGAUACCGUGUCAAUUAUAAAGUCCAGGGACUUAGCCAUGGCUUGCAUGUUACGAUUCAUCAGAUCACGGCAGCACUUGACAUCCAUGGAUCUAAAGUAUUAAUAAUUCAAAAUCUUCCCGUUUACCUUCAUAUGUUCUUGGUCAGAUGAGAUAACGAAAUGGUCAGCACCAAGCAAGCUCAGUGCUUCCUCCUUUUUAGAAAUGCUUGUACUGAACACGGCAACUUUCAGUCCAAAAGCCUUCCCAAGCUUAAUUGCCAUCUGACCGAGCCCACCAAGUCCAAUUACGUCGAAAGACUUACCCGGUUGGUUCAUCUUGUGACGCACCAUUUGAAUGUAUACUGUGAUUCCAUCACAGGGCAAUGGUGCUGCUAAAGCCAACGGGUAGUUUUCUGGAAUCCUAAGGCAAUACCUGUCAAUGAAGCACCACAAUUAAGUUUCCAAAUCAUGUAAUUUUUCUAUUCCCCUCGAUCAUGUCUCUAAGGGACACGAUAUUCCUGUGACUGUUGGAUACAAGAAUCCGUGAAAGCAUAUACAUUUCAUUACCCAUUUGAUCUAACACUUACUAUCUAACUCUUGGGAACAAUCUAAAAAAAGGGAGGAAGCGGAGACAAAAGGCAAGGAUUGAGCAAUUUCCAUCUCUCUCUCUCUCUCUCUCUCUCUCUCUUUUAAUUAAGGGUUAAUAUCCUAAAAAAUCCCAAAUUGGUACACAUGUAACAAAUUUACCUUGACAGACUAUAAAAAACUCUAAACUUAUAUAUUUAUGACAAAUUUACCCCAAACUAAUUUAUUUGACCGCAAAAAAUCUCAAAAUGGUAAAUUUGUAACAAAUAUACCCUUCACUAAAUUGGAUUAAUACCACAAAAAGAUCACAAAAAUUGUAAACCGUGACAAACGGAGCAUGAAAUCUCAAAUUGGUAUUACUAAUCAACUGUCACGUGCCAUUUAACUUAAUAAUUUGACAGUAAAAUUUAAUGAAAACUAAUAGAGGGUAAAUUUGUCACAAGUGUACUAGUUUAGAGUAUAUUUGUCAAAAGUAUACCAGUUUGGAGUUUUUAGUGGUCAAAAAACUAGUUUAGAGUAAAUUUAUCAUAGGUGUACCAGUUUUGAGUUUUUUAGGGUAUUAACCCUUUAAUUAAUUUAGUUUUAAAUUUAAUGUUAUUAAUGUUUCAUGAAAAUUCAUAUGUUAGAUUUAUUGGCUCACAUGUCAUUGUCACUUGAUGUGUAUGAUAUAUAGAAUAGUCCAAGAGUUUUGACUUUAGAUGCUUGGGAACUCGCGAAUGGUCAUACAUUGUCGGUUACACAUUCAAUAUGAUGUAUUAGCUAAUCAUAGUCCUCUAACGGUUUAUAUUUGCUUAAUAUAUUUCAAGAAUAUUCAUUUGUUAGACUUGUCCGCUCACACGCCACUGUCACUCGAUGUAUAUGAUAUGCAGAAUAGUCUAAGAGCUUUGACUUUAGACACUUGGGAGUGUCUAUGCUUGUUUUAUGUCUGUUAUGCUUGCAAUGCUUCUGGUUUUGAGUGGACAGUACAAAUAUUUAAGUCCAUGUCAAUUUGAACAAUUUUCUUUAUUAUAGAGCAACCGUCUUUAAUCUAUUGUGUUCUUGACCACAAAAAACCAAAUAACAAAUAAGUAUUAAUUAUUGUAGGGUCCAACAACAAUCUUUAAUCUAUUGUGUUCUUGACCACAAAAAACCAAUUAACAAAUAAGUAUAAAUUAUUGUAGGGUCCAACAGCAAUCUUUAAUCUAUUGUAUUCUUGACAACAAAAAACUAAAUAAUAAAUAAGUAUACAUUAUUAUAUGGCCCACUCCUUUAAAAAUUUGUUGCUCACAACAACUUAUUUAUUCUCAUAAUAACCCAAAGUUAUGCUAGCAAAGCUCUUUUGAGUAAGUGUAUUGAAAGUUUUAAAAACUUGUCACUAAAGUGCAUUAAGUCCUGAAACUUUCAAAAAAUACAAUUUAAUCCUAAAAUUUGUCACGAAAUGCAAUUGAGUCUUAAAAUUUUCAAAAAGUAAAAUCAAUUAUAAAGAUUUAUCAAUAUUAUAAGGGACAAAACCAAAAGCUGCAUGCAAUAAAUCAGACAAAAUUCAUUAAUUUAUGACCAUCAAGCAAGCGUCAGACAUUAGCAAAUGAAUGUAUUAGCAAUCGAAAAUACAUCGAAAACAAAAAGUUAAAAGCUCAUAUCUACCUUUCAUUCUUAUGCUUUGUAAGCCCCUCUGACCUUAGUGACCGCAAGGAUUUUACUGUGGACUCAAUGAGAUCCAUCUCAAGCUCCACCCUUUCAUGUGUCCAGCACUGAAGCAAAAGGAAAAUCGCAAUAAUGCGAUGAGGAUGAAACUAACCCAUUGAAUUUCUGAGUAAUCCAUCAAGUACAAGUUACCCAUCAUUCGGCCACUAAGCUCCUCCACUAUGGCCCUCAAUUGCUGGAUGCUUACUACGAGCGCUUCAUCCCUUCGUAUGAAGUCAACAUUUCUUUGAUUCACACUUUCUUUGCAUGACAUAUUUUAAACCUACAAGUAAACGUUAGUCACAAAAAUCCUCACCAAUUGCUCCCUCACGUGUUUCUCUCAAUGUGUUUGUCACUCCCCUCGUGUUUAACUCAAAUUUAGGCUUUUUCCCUCUCGUAUUCUCUUUUCACAAGUUCUUUAUUGGACUCAAAAUCAGUCUCUCAGCCCCCUCACGACAAUCAAUCAAAAUAAUCAAACAAGAUUAGAUUACUAUUAAUUUUGUUUCAGCAAGUAACAAUUUCAAACCAACAAGUAUAACUUUCGAAAUUCUAAUUGAAACGCAAAUCACUACUGAUUUUGUUUCAAUUCGGUCCACAGUCGCCUUCUUGAUUUUUUUUUGUUCAGCUUUUUUUUUCUGCUGAAUCUUUUUUUUUUCUCUAGCGCACUUUUUUUUUGUGUGCGUUUUCUUUCUCUUCUUUUUUUUUUUUUACGAACUUUCUUUGUUUUUUUUUCUUUCUUUUUUGACAAACUCAGAUACAAUUUAAGAUGAUAGGAAAAAAAAUAUUAAAACUAACAGCAAACAAUUACGUAUGGAAGCACAAAAGUAAUCAGAUCCCUAAAUUGGCUAGAACCGAAACCCUAACUCAAUAAAUCUCAAAUUGCUGAAUAUAAACAGAAAAUUAAAGAUAAAUAGACAUUGUAGAAGUAAGCUCUGAUACCAAAUGAUGUCAAUCGUUGUGGAAAAAUCAUUCUACGAAGGCCUGGAUGGUGCGAAUUGCAAACCUCGACCUCCAAUCAAACCUGUGAUUGAUAACCUCGAUAUGAACGUGAUCAAACCUACGAUUGAGAACCUCGGUAUGAACGUGACCUAUUGACAAACGCAUGUCAACCAACCAAACCCACGAGCGAAAGAAUAAGGUUAAGUUCUCAAAAAAUAGUAGAAAAGAAUCUCUCAACUUUUUUCAUCCAUAUAUAUAUAUAUAUAUAUAUAUAUAUAUAUAUAUUGACUUGGUCAAAUAUUUGAUGAUCAGAUAAUCAAAUUGUGCAAAGAUUUCUAAGAUUCUUCAAGAUUUAAUCCAAAGCCAUCUCUACGCCGAAGAUCAUGAACCAUGACGCUAACAGCUUACUUGAAUUGCUUGGCUCGUGCUCGAGUAAUUGAACCAGUAGGAAUAGACAAUGGGUCUCUAGCACCACCUCAUCGAUAUGGCUUGAUGUCCACAUCAUAAUGCAUGCGAAGGAACAAGCCGAUUGCCACUUGAUGUUAGUCAUUCAUGCAAAACUGUAAGAUUCAUACGCUAUAAUAUAGCCAAACAAGCAACCAAAAAAAAAAAAUAAAAAAUAAAAAACUAAAAAAAUGAUCUGCGUUGCACUUGAGGUGGCAAGGGCAAUUAGAUUGUAUUGAAACUAAAUGAAGUCCGUUGCAUUAAAAAGACAAUCAAAUGAUGCAUUGAUCAAACCUUCUCUUCCUUCUUCUUUUUCCUCUCCAGGUCUUCCACGCCUUCCGACUUGUUAUCCGGUUGAGACUGCACGACCCACAUCGACUCAUCAAUCUGAUCAUUACAAUCAUAGACUUGCCAUUUCCACAGCUAACCCAAUAACUCAAGCUACAAUCAGACGAGCUUCCACCCAAGAAAACAUACCAUUUCGAUGGUUGGUAAGCGUGAGACUGCAACCAAAGUUCGAUUCCGACAAGAGAAAGCACCGGGACAGAUGGUUGAGCUCCGUUUAGAAGUAGACCCAACAGCCGCCGGCGAACAAGGGUGGCGACCGUGACUUCAAAGAGACGACUUGACGGCGACCGAGCUCGGCGGAGGCGAGGGCGGCGGGACUUGUCAGCAGGGAUUUUUCUGACAGUGUCAGACUGGCACGACUCUGACGUUUUUUUAAUUAACUAAAGAAAGAAAUUCGUAAUACGACGUGGGCAGCCCGCAGGAGGGCGAAAUAAGAGUUUCCUGUUCUUAUUUUAUUUUAUUUUUAGCCUUUUCUGCUUAUUAGCAAAUAAAAUUUAUUAAUUUGACACGAACAUAUAGUGGUGUAUUUCCUACUAGUAAUAUAAAUUUAUAGAUUUUAAGGGAAGACUUGGAUCGUAAUUGUCAUUGGAGAGGAAGUGAAUGAUGAUAUAACAUGAGUUAAUAGACGUAAGUGAAAAAUGUCACAAAAGAAAUCGUGUUCCGAUAUUAAUUUUGUCAAUAUAUUGAAAAGGCAACAGGUUUCGUAUUCUUCUGGACAGAAAUGAAAGGUCAAAGGGAAACGAGAAGGACUGAGCAAAUAAAUGACAAAAUAUGAGCAAUGGAAGUCAUUGAUCGUUUGCCGUUUGACUGAUUGGAUUCUAAAUAUUUUAUUUUCAAUUGGGGUCUAAAUAUUUAUUUGGUCCAAUUGACUUCUAAACAUUUCCAAUUUUAGUCAAUCACGUCCCUCGAAUAUUAUUGUCGGAAAGAGCCACAUGGCUGUGAUUUUCCAAGUGGCCAAGGAGAUGCUUGAGGAGAAAACCUGUAGGAGAGGCGAAGCCAUUCAAGCAGAACUCUCAAGAAGCCAAUUUUUCAGACAGUUUCUCAAUCAUCACAUAGAAAAGUACCAGGAUUUCAUUACCCAUUUCACUUAUUUCUGCUAUAAAACUUACGGGUAUCGAAGUAUAUCAGGCAUAGUUUAUUUGUACUCCAGCAGAGAUAGUAAAAAGGCACAGAUGAUGCUCUCCUCUAGCUGAAACUCCCACUUUUCCUCUCUGUGUGAUCAGCUUUGCCAGCAACAAUUUCCAACUUCCCAAAUUGAUGUUCAAAUUUAAUCAAAUAGACUCAGAGAAGAAAACACACGAGAAUUGUUGCUAUAACUCUUGUUACUUUAUUCAUCAAAACAUCCAAAUCACUUAGCAAGAAAAUAGCUAUAGAACAACAACAACAACAAAGACCCACUGACAUACCCCACCGACCAAACAUGUGGAGAAACUAACUCCUACAAAAAAGCCACUUCCUAUUGACUAGGACUCCACUAUUACAUUAUUGAAGACACGUAAAAACUGUAAGUUAACUACUUCAACAAUUGAUGGUGUCACUUCAAGGAGUUCUCAAUGUCGAUCACGAAUCGAUACUUAACAUCUCUCUUGAUGAGCCUCUCCAGAGCUUCAUUGGCAUAAUCAAUCGGUAUCACUUCAAUAUUUGGGUAUAUCUUCUGCGCUGCACAUAGGUCUAUCAUUUCUUGGGUAUCCUUUGUUCCUCCCGUUAGGCUACCUGAAACAGUUCUCAUAUCUGCCAAACGUUCACCACGAGCAACUUAGUUCACCUAUCAGGUAUGAAAUUUCAUUUAGUAAUCAGAUUUGAGAACAAAAACAUACGGUGGUUAAGGCUGGCUGGACUAAAUUUAACUUCGCUCGAGCCGACCAAUGCUAGAAUGCCACCCGUCUUCAAAACAGACAUGUAAGGAUCAAAUGGGUGAUUGCCGGCUGCCGUGUCGAUUAUAAAGUCUAGGGACUUAGCAAUGGCCUGCGUGCAUUGGAUUUAUCAGAUCACAACAGAAUUUGACCACCAUGGAUCUCAAUGUGGAUAAUUCUAGUUUUUCCUUUUUUUACCUUCAUCUGCUCUACGUCAGAUGAGAUAACGAAAUGGUCAGCCCCAAGCAGGCUCAGUGCUUCCUCCUUUUUAGAAAUGCUUGUACUGAACACUGUGACUUUUAGUCCAAAAGCCUUCCCAAACUUAACUGCCAUAUGACCGAGCCCGCCAAGUCCAAUUACACCUAGAGACUUACCGGGUUGGUUCAUCUUGUGACGUAUCAUUGGAGUGUACACCGUGAUUCCAGCACAGAGCAGUGGCGCUGCUAGAUCCAUCGGGUAGUUUUCUGGAAUCCUGAAGCAAUACCUGUCAAUGAAGCACCACAAUUAAGUUUCCAAAUAACACCAAGAGAGGAAGUGAUUUCCCAAUAGAAUCAGCAUCCUGUCUUUUUUGUCUAAAAGGAAUCAAAUCACAGAGCCAGAAAUCCUAUCUUCCGCAUGCUUGGGAAUGUUACUUGCUUAGACCACAAUUCAGCAUCAUGUUGUUUCCGUGAUCCUUGUUCUGACCACAAAUUGCUCAAGACAAACAUUUCUUGCUGUAGCAACGAAAAUAACUCGAUUAAAAUUAAGAAAAGACACUUGCUCUAAGAAAGGAAACUGGUGGCAUAUCACAUAUGCUUGACUGAACACGUAAUUUCUCUAUUUCUUUCAAUCAAUUCCUCCGAAGGACUCAAGAUUCCUGUGGCUCUAUCAGAUACAAGAAUUAGUGAAAGCACAUACAUUUAGCUACCCAUUUGAUCUUAUACUUAUGAUCUAACUUUAACAAUCUAAGGACAGCUUAUUCCAUUCUUGACAAUGGUUAUUGAAAAGAAAGAAUUUCUUUUUGCAUUUAAUAAAGCCAAUUCUCCAUUGAAUGGUCUGAAUGGUAAUUGGAUACAGAGGACUUAAAGACCCUCCAGAGCCGUUAUAGAAAGUAUCUUUAUCCUUUUCCACAAGAUGCAUUAUGCUACUUCUGGUCACAAUCAGAAUACGAAGAAAAUUAGCAGAGAAGAAGACAUGACAUGAAAUCUUUUUUUGGCCACCAUGAUUUGAAAUUCUUUCACAGUGCAAAAUGCUGCCUAAUAACAUUGUGUUAAUAAGCAAUUACC